rnacentral:lncRNA from 1 species
GGCCAUCCACCUCUCCGCCCACCGCGGCUGCUCCCGGUCCAUCUCCUCCUCCACCGCCGGCGCCGGGUUCCUCCAGAUCUUGGAAAACACAACAUAGGAAUAAGAUCGAACACUUGGAACGCAAUGAAUCGCGCAAAUAGAACAAAACAGAGUGUUAACAAGUUCCAAUCUUACUUGGUGGGAGAAGGCGUAGGACAGUGCCUCGGCAAGCAACCUCAGAUCGAUUAGCUACUUAGCUUAACAAUAGCGGCCGGCCGGGGGUUACCAUGGAGCGACGCGACGUACUCGUUUGUGUACUUGGAGUCCCAUAAGGCGGAGGUGUCGACGCGGUAGGAGGAAUUGUUGCUGCCAGCUUGUUGCGUUCUGACAGAGGUUGAGCGGAGAAUCAGAGAAAGGGGAGAGGGGUCACGGGGGAGAAGAAAUGAAAGGGCAGGGGGUUAUUUGCAAAAAAUCUUCCACGUGGCACCUGACAAGUGGGCCCGAAGAGCCACGUCGGCAUGAGACACGCGCCCAAGUCACAUUAGGACAUGUGUUGAACCACUUAUUAAACAAUUGGGACUCAAACGUGCAGUUUCAAAGAAUUGAGACUGACUUGGGACUUUUGUGAAAGAAUUAGGACCUCCGAUGCAUUUUACUCCUUUCAUUAUUUAGUCGAUGAACAGCUAACCCACACAUCUGUUUAUUUUCUUAGACACGUCAUUAUAAGACCAUCUCCGAUAUAGCAAGACCGUUACUUCAUGCAUCAGGUCAACUCUUUUGCUUAGAUGGAAGAGAGAAGUGGAAUUGAUGUGAUACGUUGUAUGUUGAUGAAGGAAUGAUACCUGCACUGGUACCAAGAAACAUGGAGGAGCAAAUAAAGAAUGAUAAGCAUCUCCUCCGUCCGGAAAUACACUAAAACGCGUCUAGAUACAUAUGAAUCUAGAAAAAUUCGAGUUAUUUAUUUCUGGAUGGAGGGAGUAUGACUGUAGACUCAAGGAAAAACAAGCACGGUUUAGGAAUAUUAAAUUGGGAGAGAAAUGAAAUAAAGACGAGAUGAGGUGAAAAGGAUAUUGUGGAAUAUAGGAUUUAAAUUCAGUGGAGUUCCCAGCAACAUGUUUUGAUGCUCCGGAGUCUAAUAUCCAUUCAGAAAGAAUUUUGUGUGUUGCUAUUGAUGCAUGUUCAGCAUACCUUCACUUGUAUCGACAAAGUUGGCAUAAUUGCCAAAACUGGAGCUGGUAGUAGCUUGCUGUCCUUCUGCACUUUGCUUACCCUUGCCUGAAGCAGCCAUGUUUGCGCUAUGAGUCCCUCCUCCAUGUUGAGGGCCACCACUCCUAGUUCGCCCCCCUCUAUUGCUGCCUCCUCUAUUGCUGCUACCAUCACCAUAACCUCUUCCCCUACCUCUUCUAGGAGCAGUACAAUAUCGGCUCAGAUGCCCUAUGUGACCACAGUUGUAGCAAUCCCUAGUCUCUUUCCAAGUUGGCUCCCAUUGCCUCUGGUCAGUGACCUUGAAAGCUGAUUCAUUUCCACCACCCUUCUUAAACUGUAGGUGCACUUCUUCCUGUGACAUUGCUGCAAUGGCUUCAUCAAGAGAUGUGAGCUCUGGUUGAUGUAACAUAGUUGCACGCCUGCCUUCAUAACCUUGGUCCAAACCCUUCAAGAACUUCAUCACACGGCGGCGCUCGACCCAAGCCCUAGCAAUCUCCAUUGACUUUGGAUCUGAUAGCUCCAAAGGAUCACACUGUUUUAAAUCUGCCCGGAGAUGCUGCAGCUCAUUUACAUAAUCCAUCACAGUCUUGUCACCUUGACGGACAUCAUGCACCUUGUCUUCAAUUUGAGACAUUAACAUUAAAUUCCCCUUGCCAGAGUACCUUUUGGAUAGUUGGUUCCAUACAACCGAGGCACUAGGCAGCGCUUCAACAGAAGCUGCAAUGGCUGGAACUAAGGAAUUCAGCAUCCAAGCAAAAAUCAGGGAAUCAAUGACACUCCAUUUCUUCCAGUCGGAACUCUCUUGUUCAGCUGGUUCCUCAACACUUCCAAGGACGUGUCCUGUCAACCCCUUUGUAUUUAAUAUCAGCAAUGCCUGCCUCGACCAGCUCAAGUAGUUCCCCACACCUUCCAGCUUGACAUCAUUAGGCAUGAGCUCAAGUUUUUGAACUUGAUAUGAUGGAGGCACAACCAUCGCACCACCUGCAGAAGCUGAGGUGUUUGCACUCUUGGCGGUCAGAAGUUGUGCCAACAUCUCUAUAGCAGCAGUCAAUUCAGUCUCCAUGAUUCUGACCACUUCAGCACUCCGUCUCAACCUUCUCUGCUUCCUCCUUCUUCCUCACAUGCAGCACUAUCAACAGCAGCAGCACCACCAGCCCUGUCACCUGUCCAGGCAACAACCACAGCCGCCGUCGACUCCUCCAGAUCCCUGUUGGCCGAAGCAGCCCUGCCUCGUCCAGCCCACAGCUCCACCACACACAGGCCAGCGAGCAGCGCACCGCCUCGCCGUCGCGCACCCAGCACGCGCUGCCACCUCUGCCAACUACGCCCUCACCACCACCGCCGGAGCCAUCGCCACCUCCAUCGAACCUGGCUCUGAUACCAUGCAGUUUGAGGGGAGGAGCUCACCUCCAGGCUCCAGCAGCAGCAGCAGCCCCUCUCUUCUCUGUUCACUCUCUCUGGCGGCUCCCUUCCACAGGGAGGGCACUCCACUACCUCUUCUAGGGCAGGACAGGUACAAGACCUGCUGGGCCAUAUGGGCCAAUAGAAGAUGGUCUUCAGCCCAAUUACCAUUCAACAGGAAACUAUUCACACAGCAGAUGGUACAGCUCAACCCAUAAAAGGAAUUGGGACAAUUGCAUGUGCCUGCUUUUCCAAUGAACUUAGUGUCUCUAAGUGCUUUGAUUGAUCAAAUAGAUUGUUUUGUGAUUCUUAACAAAAGGAUGUGUUUGAUUCAGGAGGGUGUGACGGGCAGGAAGCUUGGGACUGGAACAAGGUGUAGGGGGUUGUGGUACAUGGAUCGCAACAUGUCGAGCCAGGAGGAAAAUCAAGUGUUUGCUGCGGUCUCUGGAGAUAGGGAGACUAAAGCUCUAAUCCAUAAUUAUCGAAUGGGUCAUGUGUCAUUUGACAAAAUGUAUCAAAUAUUUCCUGAUGCUAUGUGUGGUGUUGAUAGAGGCAAGCUGAAGUGUGAUGCUUGUGAGUAUGCCAAACACACCAGAACCUCGUAUGUGAGUAAGGGGAUUAGAAGUAUAUCCCCAUUUGUGUUAAUCCAUUCUGAUGUAUGGACAUGUCCAGUGGUAUCUAUUAGUGGCAUGAAGUACUUUGUGACAUUUAUUGACUGUUAUUCUCGGAUGACUUGGGUCUAUCUCAUGCGACAUAAGGAUGAGGUGUCUAAGUGUUUUAAAAACUUCUAUGCUCUCAUGAAGAAUCAAUUUAAUGUGCAAAUACAAGCUGUUCGCUCUGACAAUGGCACUGAGUAUGUUAACCAGAUAUUUGGUGCUUUCAUGUUUGAACAGGGAAUCUUACAUCAAACCUCAUGUCCAGAUACGCCUCCUCAAAAUGGCGUGGCUGAGAGGAAGAAUCGACAUAUUUUGGAGGUGGCCCGGGAUCUAAUGUUCACCAUGAAUGUGCCGAAGUUCUUGUGGAGUGAGGCUGUUAUGGCUGCCACAUACUUGAUCAAUCGCAUGCCCUCUCGGAUAAUAGGUAUGAAAUCUCCUUGUGAAUUAAUUCUCAAAGAGAACACCUUUAUAGUUCCACCAAAGCUGUUUGGUUGCACCUGUUUUGUGAGAGAUCAUAGACCUUCAGUGAACCAGCUGGACCCUCGGGCUGUAAAAUGUAUCUUCAUUGGGUAUUCGUCUGGACAGCGGGGCUACAAGUGCUAGAGUCCUUCAAAGCGAAGGACAUUUGUGAGCAUGGAUGUCACGUUUCGGGAGUCAGAAUCUUUCUAUGGAACUAAAACAGAUCUCACUAUCCUGUUUCAAGACCUUGACCAUCUUCCGUUUAAUGAAGUUGGUCAAGAGGGGGAGAGUGGAGUUAGUGGAGUUCAGGCGCAAAGUGGAGAUGCCCAAGUUCAGUCGGCACCGAUUGUGGGUCUUAUUCCGGUUGGCCAAGGACAGAUGGUCUAGUUCGUGAGAAUCCAAAAGAUAGGUGGUGCAGGAAUCCCUAUGUUUAUACUAGAAGAAAGGUGGGUAGACAACAUGUUCAGGGGGAGCAGCCCCAGGGAGAACGACAAGAUAGCAAUGACACAAUUGUUCAGGGAGGAGGUCAUGUAGAGGGUGAGUCCGCAACUACUGGGGAGUCAAUUGAUUUUCCGAUAGCCUUGAGAAAAGAGACUCGUGUGGGUGCAGGGAUUCCACCAGAAAGGUAUGGCUUUGAUGACCAUGACAUUGGCAACUGUGUUUCAUAUGAAGCCUUAUCUCCAUCCUACAAAGCAUUUGUUGCUUCUCUCCGGUCUGUAACAAUUCCAACUGAUUGGAAGAAAGCAAAAGAAGACUCCAAGUGGCGCAUGGCCAUGGUGGAAAAGGCUAGAGGCUUUGAGUAAGAACAAAACUUGGGUGCUAACAACUCUUCCUACAGGAAAGAAGGCAGUCAGUUGUAAGUCGAUUUAUACAGUGAAGUAAAAUGCAGAAGGAAAGAUUGAAAGGUACAAGGCAAGGCUUGUGGCUAGAGGAUAUAGCCAGACCUAUGGCAUUGAUUAUGAUGAGACCUUUGCACCAGUAGCAAAGAUGAACACAAUGAGGAUAUUGAUCUCAUGUGCAGCCAAUUUUGGGUGGCCUCUACAUCAACUUGAUGUAAAAAAUGCAUUCUUGCAUGGAGAUCUACCAGAAUAAGUCUACAUGGAAAUCCCACCUGGGUUUUCUACAUCUGAAACUGCUGGCAAUGUGUGUAGUCUAAAGAAAUCCCUUUAUGGUCUAAAACAGUCCCCAAGAGCUUGGUUUGACAGAUUUAGGCGUGUUGUUUGUGAUAUGGGGUAUAGUCAGUGCAAUUGUGACCAUACACUUUUCUAUAGACACUUGAAGGGAAAGAUCACUAUUCUUGCAGUAUAUGAGGAUGAUAUCAUUAUUACUGGGAUUGAUAAGGUGGAGAUAUCGAGACUGAAAGAUUGCUUGGGAAAGGCCUUUGAAGUUAAGGAUCUUGGCCGAGUCAAAUACUUCCUUGGUAUUGAAGUGGCCAGAUCUCCAAAUGGAAUAGCUCUAGCUCAGCGGAAGUAUACACUGGAUCUUCUCAAUGAUGUUGGGAUGCUAGGUUGUCGGCCAGCCUCAACUCCAAUUGAUCAAAACCACAAAGUAACAGCUCAAUCAGGUGACCUUGUGGAUAAAGAACGAUAUCAAAGGCUAGUUGGAAGAUUGUUGUAUUUGUGUCAUACACGUCCUGAUAUUGUCUUUGCAGUAAGUGUAGUAAGUAGAUACAUGCACGAGCCUAGAAGUGAGCAUCUUGAGGCAGUCUACAGAAUUCUGAGGUAUUUGAAAGGAACUCCAGGAAAGGGACUAUUAUUCGAGAGUAAUAGACAUCUUGACGUAGAUGGUUAUUGUGAUGCUGAUUGGGCAAGUUGUCUAGACGACCGAAGGUCAACUUCAGGGUAUUGUGUCUUUGUUGGUGGGAACUUAGUAUCAUGGAGAAGCAAAAAGCAAGCAGUUGUGUCCAGAUCAAAAGCAGAAACUGAAUAUAGAGCAGUGAGAUGUUGUGGGUAAGGAAUCUGUUGAGUGAGUUGAAGGUAUUAAAGAAUGGUUGUCUAAAUGUGUGGUGUGACAAUAAGUCGGCAAUCAGUAUAGCAAACAAUCCUGUUCAACAUGACAGAACGAAACAUAUGGAAAUUGAUAGAUUUUUCAUCAAAGAAAAGUUAGAUGCUGGGAUUAUCAAGAUAGAACAUGUGAGCACAGGACAACAGAUUGCAGAUUGCUUAACAAAAGGAUUGGGGACUAGAGAGUGCAAUCUAGCGUGUGACAAGAUGGGAAUGAUAGAUAUCUAUCACCCCUCUUGAGGGGGAGUGUUGAAUGGUAAUUGGGCUGAAGCCCAUCUUCUAUUGGCCCAUAUGGCCCAGCAAGUCUUGUACCUGUCCUGCCCUAGAAGAGGCAGUGGAGUGCCCCCCUGUGGAAGGGAGCCGCCGGAGAGAGUGAACAGAGAAGAGAGGGGUUGUUGCUGCUGCUAGAGCCUGGAGGUGAGGCCCUCCCCUCAAACUACAGAUAUUAGCGGCUUUAGAAACGAACAGUUGUGAUGUUAUCAGAAAGCUACCAAAGAGUACAGUUGUUAAUGUAAUAAACUAACGGGAUUAAAAAUCCAUAAAAACCAACGGCAAUAAAAUGCUGGAGUGCCAGUCACACCUUCCGACUAAGGGGUAUACAAAAAGAUCAAAGAAAAUACCAAUAAAAUACAAAAUGGAUACUUGGGUCACCUGAAGAGCCUUGCAGAGCUUUUGGGCCUCAGCGGUGAAAAAUGUGGGGCGUCGUGGUGCCCAUCUUGAUCUCAUAGGAAGUGGCCACUGUUGCCGGCGGUGGGGUCGAGCACGGGGAGAGGGCAAGGCUGCCCUGGACGCCGUGGACGAGCGUGUGGCUUACACGGGCAUACUCGCCGGUGACAUGCACCCGGCAGCUCUCUCCUCCCACAGCAUGCAGUCAUCAUGGACGGACAAUACACCCACCAGCAAGACGGCCCUGUAUUGGAGCAGCCUGCACGGCAGCACCGCGACGCUGGCGGCGGACGAGGACUACUUGUACAACAGCAACAACCCUCGUGAUCCGCUCCUUCACGAGGCCGUGCAACCGUAGAUUGCUGUCGUCACUAUCGUGCCAUUGUCGCCUCCCCGAAGUCGAUUUGCCGCCGUCGACGACAAUAGUUGUAGUCCCGAUGUUGUUGAGAGAGAUAGAGAGUCGAGGGGGAGAUAGAGACAUAGCAAAGAGAAAGAACCGUUCGACUCACGACGCUUUUGCAGAAAACCCCCUGAGAAAUUGCAGCAACACUUAUGCAGGUGUGGCAGCCACAUGGCUAUUUUAACCCCUUCUAAACCGAUUUUGACUGAACUGAGAUAGUAAUCCUAGUUUGGGGCGUUUGAUUAAAAUGCUAUGCACAACCUGUCUUUGAUUAAAAUGUUUUACAUAGUGUGUGAAAAAUGUUCAUUAUGAGUUUAUGACAUAUAAAAUGUUCACAAUUUAGAAAAAAAACAUAUUCACUUUUCUUUGCAAAGAAGUUUCUGCUGUUGGACCGGUCCAUAUUAUAUCUGAACUUGCACGGAUCACAGAACUGGAUCCAAUGGUCAUCAAUUGCGUUUGGUACCAUUUUGAUCGAAAACACAAUCUUACAAAUAACUAGACUAUAUAGGUAGUACAGGUGUUGGUAUUUAUGUUGACGGGACCAUGUAGUAGCAAAAUGGUUAGUACAGGUCGGUGGUAGCCUUUAGGCCUUGAAUAAUUGAGAAAAGGACCACUCACUCACCCACAACCACGUGAGAACAAAAGAGAUAGAAUAGCAUUGACUGACUUUGCACUAACCUGUGAUACCCGACGCACCAAACACUCAAGUUGUAUUGCCCUUUCCCUCUAAUGAUUUUGAAGUUGCAACCCAAUUUCACUUGACUUGGGAAGAAUGAUUGAUCGAGCCACAUAUCAGUUGAUUGGGACAUGGAUUUCCGUAGGGUAAGAGCUUUAUUUUGCUUUGAGAAAUUUACAUCUGAAAAUAAAUCUUAGAAACAAGCAAAGGAGGAGGAAACAAGCAUGUCCAAGUUUUUUUUAAAUAAGCUUUUCUUGUACAACAACGUGUAAAUUGGAAGUCCUAAAGAAAAAAAAGGUAAUAUGCUUCAACAGUACUACUAUUAUUACUGGGUGCCAAUUUAGUCCCAAUAUUAUGAUACUGCAUAUUUACGUUUCAAUUUUGUUCAAAUUAUUCAUGCAAGGUUUUAAACUAUCUCAAGAGUCACCGACUCUCCAGCGUGGAUCUUUGACCACAGAUUCAUUGGCGGGUGAGUGUUAGCGUGGGAUUUCCCACCGUGAGUAGCUGGGCAAUUGUUUUUUAGAUACACCCCUACAAAAGGCCGAUCUCACUCAUUGUUCUCGACUCCACCACAUUCUUCUUCUUCCAUCCUUUUGCGCUUCCUUUCCUCUUGCCCCUUUUUUUUGCGGGUAAAACACAAGCUUUAUUAAUCAGGUUGCAAAUUACAAUCAGCGCUCAAGGCGCUUUGAACCCACUCAGAUUUUUCUCCUAGCCAAACUACAUACCUCUUUCCUCUUGCCCCUGCCAACACGGCUUCCGUUGGUGAAGUGCCCUUGUAUAGAGGACCCUUGAUGUGUCUUAUCUCCAACAUGUCGCCAAAUCCUGGCCAAGUGCUAUACAAAUGUCCAAAUCAUUAGGAAAAUUUUGGUCAAUUUCAAUCCGAUGUAACAUUUCGCACUCUUUUCUUUUGCCCGUUUUGUGAUCUUGGUUUCAGACAGAGGAGUGUCGAGCCUUUCAAUUUCUACCAACAAGAUGGAGAGGACAAUAUAUAUGUGCAGUACUUAGAGGCGAUUGGCACCCAAGUUCUAGGUUUUUUGGUGUUAUCUCGGGUGGAGUAACCAGAGUAGACGAAGCAGAAAAGGAGGAGGAUGUCAAUAGAAUUGAGAUCCUAGACAGGCUAAACAAGGAUCUGGCACACUUGGUGGGUAGAUAAAUGGCAUGUAGGAGAGGUGAUAUGACAAAGGCAAUGAAAUAGACGACAGAGCCCGUUCAAGUAUGUAGAAAGAGCUAUUGUUGUGUUUGCAUGAAACCAUUAUAUUUGUACAUCAAAUUUGACAAAAAAUGACGGCAAUUCAAAUAGGCAUGAAACUGGUAAGAAUUCAAAUAUGUCUAAAUUAAAACAUAAAUAAAUAAAACUUCAAGCUAAUCCAACAUAUGCAUGUCCAAUGUUAAGUCAAAUCAACGAUUUCAAGAAAGAACCGUAUUCAAAGCUUGGAUUGAGGUGAUUACUAUAAGCGGAGGAGGAUUGCUAGGGGGUCAUCAUGCACGGGCCAUCUCAACGGAGCACCCUGGCAACAGGUCGAUAGCACCUGUUGCCAUCAAGGUCGGCUCGCCGAGUAAAAGAGUGAGAAAAAAAUAACGGAUUUGCUAACUCUCAGUCAUCUGAGAAAUCUUAUUUCUCAGUCGACGUGGGAAACAACAGAGUCUAAGUAAAGAGAUAACUGAACAUACACAUGAACUGCUAGUUGGUCCGGUGGUUGGUGGACCUAACGCCUGUAGUUGAGCUCUUGUGUUUGACCAUUGGGUCACUUAUUUUACUGUUUUAUUUUCUUAUUUCUAUUUUUUGUUUCGUAUUUAUAGUUUAUGUAGGUUUUGUUUUUAACUCUUAUUUCUCUUGAUUUCACGUUUUAUUUUCUUUUUUCAUGUGCAACUCUAAUGUUAAGUGAGAAUAUGCGUGUUUGUCUUUAUGUUACAUCUAUUUAGUUUAUUCGACCGUGUUAAUCACAAACAGUUGGUGUGUGUACCUAUGUUUUUAUUUCUUUUUUUUCUACGAAUUGCAUACUCAGAUUUUUUUUGGGUUGACAAAUUAUAUAUGUGCGGUAAUAUAAAAUAGCAAUAUUGCACAUUUAUUUUAUUUUCUUGUGUUCCAAGUUUAUUUUGAACCACUUACUAUUCCGAAAACCAUAAUUUUAUUGUGCAGCUUUAGAAUUAGGUGUUGGUCAUUUUUUUCGUCUUAGAGCGUGUGUUGGGCUGACGAUGUUUUAAUUAUUUGUUGGUUUUAGGCCAAUAAUUAAAUUUUUCGAUUUUAACUGCAAUUUUUUGAGUUGGAUGGACGUUGCAACUGCUAUUUCUCGAGUUGGAUGUUGCAACUGCAAAUUCUUGAGUUGGAUGGACGUUUCAACCGUAAUUUUUCGAGUUGGACGUUGCAACUCUAAUUUUUCGAGUCGAGGUCUAUUUUUCGAACAAGUUGCAACUAUAAUUUUAUGGUACCAUGGAUUGCAUACAACCAUAAGGAACACGCGCGCGCCAGGGAGAGACCUGCAUGCAUGCAUGACUCCCUCACCUGCAUGCGUCAAUCCCUGCACGCGUGAAUCUCUCGCCUGCAUGCAUGCUUGAAUCGCUGAUUGAUCUCGUCUUGAUCUCGUCGAAAUUUAAUUUCUAGUCGACUGAGCGUUAGACAUUCCCAAAAAAUAAAGAGCUAAAAUAAAAAUAAGACAACAUAUACAAGGUAAUUUAAAACCAACUUGACACCACAAGAAUAAUAGGACGGCAAUGCAUUUUACUCACAAGUCACAACGAAGCUGGAUCAACAAUCUAAAAAUGGCUAUUCGAGAAUAAUCUAGUUUUGUUUUUGAAAAGCUUAAGCCGAUAGAAAAUGACGUAACAAAACAUUUUUGUUUACUUGGGCCGUAGGGACAAAGCUAAAGAAUAUGCUUGUCCAAAGAAAAAGCGUGAAAGGCAAUCCACGACAGGGUAGCACACGAGACGAGACGAGAGGCAAGGUAGCAGCCAGGAGGCAUGAGAACAAAUGAGAUGUACGGUAACCAAGACGAAGAAUAUCCUUUGCCUGCCUGCCCUGCACUGCCAGCUCCUGCAGCCAAAACUAGCACCAAAGCCGCUCGAGAAAUCAAAAACAAAACAUAUACGACCUGCAGCCUUUUUGUUUAUUAGCUGAUGGACAUAGAUUGAUAGAUAUGAGAGCCACGCGUGCAUGCCGACAAGACGAGCAGACAAGGUUGGUUGGGCUCAGCAGGUGUGAGAGAUACAGUAUGUCGUAAUCAGAUACAGUAGAUAUAUAGCUCCAUUACUCCAUACAUAAAUAAAUACUCCCGUGAGUAUAAUUGCUCAUGUGUUGGAAACAUGUUGUGGCAGGUAUGCUUCGUUUUGCAGCUGGCCGAGGCCGACCAGUUCUUGUGAAUCUGCAGUGACUUGGAUCGUGUAGGUUAUAUACUGUGUACUACUGGAGCUGCUCACAUCGAGGAAUUGACAAGAGGGCAUUCGCAUGACGAUAUUUCCCUUGUAAGUCUGAAAUGUCAAGGAUAGCAAGUUGGCCGAUCUUGAAGUACUUUCUCCGUUUCUAAAUACUUGUCGUUGUUUUAUACAAGUUUGCACUAAGCCAGCGACAAGUAUUUAAAACGGAGGAAGUACGUUUCUGUCUCCAAUAGUUGAUACAAUUACCUAACCAAUCAACUGCUACCAGUACUUAUAUCAUUGUGGAUUGUGGGAUAGGUCACACGUAACAACCACCUGGAGUCCCUUUCAGCUCUGUUUCGUCUCUAUUAUAUCCUAUAUUCUCCCUCAGAUGUGUUUGUCGCAUGUGAUGAAUUGAUUAAAGACUGUGCCAAAUCUCUUUCUUCCACUACUCUGAAAGAGCUACUCUCUCCGACCGGUAUUACUAGUCUCAAACUUGUUCAAAUACGGAUGUAUCUGAAAGAGCUACUCCCUCCGACCGGUAUUACUAGUCUCAAACUUGUCCAAAUACGGAUGUAUCUAGAUACAUGUAAUAUUUCGACAAAUAAUUCCGGUCGGAGAGCUAGACGGUUCUCUUCAGAGAACUUUUCCAAAUUUCACAGCUCAAGACCUGAGAGCUAGGUGCAUGCACAUCACACCAUUCAAUUACCUGACUCUGAAGUCUGAACCACGUUGAUUAGCAGCCGGGCUGCUACCUCACAUGACAUGAAAGUUUGUUCUUAGGGCGUUGAUGUGGAAUUAUUAUAUACAGUAUAUGACCAAGACUUUCAAAGUAUGUUGGCAUUUGCCUUACGAUCUAAAUUUUGCAAACAACCGGGUGUCUGGUUCCAAUAAUUGCAUGCCAGCAUUGGAGAUUUCCCGAGCUAACUAAGUCAGACUAUACGGUAUAAUUUAAUCGACUCUGGACAUUGGAGCCUAUCUAUCAUCAUCGUGAUAUUUAUUGGAGAACCCUGUUGCCAUCACCAAUAAUGUUUCAGAUUGAAUACACUUGUGCAUGCACGUAUGCAGAUCUCCAAUUUGAUUGAGCCCGGAGUCAAACAACUUUGCUUUAUUUGUUGUGGCCUUGUGGGCACAGAGAGGAGUUGUUGCCAUUCAUCGAACGGGUUAAGUACUGUAGUACUAUUUGAGUACUAUAUGCCGUAGCUAGAGCCUAGUGAUCUUGCUCGCGUAUGCAGUCUUAUGUGUUUGUCUUGUUGCAGUGCAUAUUGUUAAGCCGUUGAGAAAUGUCAAUUUGUAUAAAGUCCAUUUGGUACCUUGCCAUUAAGAACGUUGUCGCUCGAUCUGGUGGAGUUGAUGUCUCGUGUUUACACAUUAUGUUUCGUACUCCCUCCGUUCAGGAGUACAUUGGGAGGGAAUGGUCCCGGACACAUUCAUCUUUAUUUAAAUCUUCAAAGACCAUGUCAACAAAACAUCACCUUUUGUGAACUAAAAGAGUAAAAGGAGUAAUAACUCAAAAUUUCCUUUUCUUUGCGUUAUCUUCAUUGUAUGCUUUGGAACCUGAAGAGAAGAUACAAAUACAAUCGCUAUGGUUGUGUCCAUCCGUUCAUGCAACGGUCAGGGGAUUGAUCCUCAUUUUCGAUAAAAAGUAAAUGAAACAAUUACAUUCAUUAAUUUUGUCUUCCCUACAAAUGUCAUUGGUUGACUAUUUCAAAACCCUGUUCUCAUGCAGGUCUAGGAGCCAGCAACAAAAAGGAAGGAUGAACUGAGGUUAAAAGUUGUUGAGAAAUGUCAAUUUGAAAAAAGUUCAUCUGGUACGUUGUCAUUUUAUGAAUCUUGUGAUUCCAUCUAAUGGAGUUACUGGCUCAUGUUUACAAAUUAUAUUCAGUACUCCCUCCGAUUCAAAAUAAGUGUCUCAGCUUUAAACUAGGUCUAGUUGAAAAAUGCGUCGCUUUAUUUUGGAUCGGAUGUACUACAAAUUUAGUUAAUUUGUUGAAUUUGUCUCGGUCUUCGUAAAUUGAGUAAAUUGCAGACAAAUUCAUACGUGGCGGCUCUUGUAACAGAAACCCACAAAUCCAAGUUAUUUUAACUGAUACCCACAACAUGAAAAAUAAUGAAUAACAGAAAAUUCGAAAAUUAGCGUUUAAGGCCAGUUAACCGUCAUGCACAGGAACCGGUUCUUUGGCUCCCAGCUCAUUCCCGGCCGGCUCCCAUAGGGCGUUGUCUCUUCGUUUAGACGUGGAGUUGCUGGCUUGUUCCUCUCUCCCUGUAUUCUCUCACUCGCUCGCUCCCGGUGCCGAGGAAGACGACAUAGGAGGAGACAGCCGACCGUGCUGCUGUUUCUCCUGCUCGCGGUGGUUAUUGGAUCUGCGCGGGUGGGAUGGGACGCCGGAGAACCUGAGCCUCCCGUCUCUGCGAACGAACGCUCUCUGGGCGAGCCGGCGCUGCCGCUGCAGGGGUCUCGGGCUCCGGCUCGUCGUUCAGGUCGAUGGCGCAGGCGGCUGCGGCGUGCCGUUCUCGACGACGCCGACGCGCUCCUCGAAGGGCAUCGGCGGAGACGCCGCCGCUGGGGAUGAAGUCGGAGGCGGCGGGAAGUCCUCCCAGGAGAAGCUGGGGCACCAGGCCCGGGGAGUAGAAGCGGCGCGACGCACCUCGUCUAAGGCGGCCGCGGAGGCAGAGGGCGCGCUAUCGGCGGCUACGGCCAGGCCCAGAUCUGCUUCCAUGGCAGCACUCGAUCCCAAGCAAAGCUGCGUUCAGAGGUUAGGUGGGGCGUGCGUUCUGGACUCGUGCAGUGAGCCGCGGCCAGCUGCAGGCCAUCAGGGGGAACCUGCGGCCAUCUCUUGCCCGGACUGCCCGACGGAGACGAAGAUUUUGUUCGGCUCAGCUCUCACCCCGGCUCAAGGCCGAUGGCUCAAACAAACUUGACAUACAGACCAGGCUCCUGAGUACGACACGUGGGUCCGAAUCAUUAAAUGGGCUAAACCUGUGAUUUAUGGGGUUUUUUUUAGUCAUUAGUCUUGUAUUUGUGGGUAUCAGUUGAAAACUUUUGGGUCCGUGGUUUUUUGUUACAAGAGCCGCUAUAUAUGUGUUUUUGUACAAUUUACUCCCAUAAAUUCUAGCGUGUGAUUAGGAAAAAAUGGUCCUGUGCAUGUUCAUAUUUAUUUCAACAAAAUGAUGCAUUCGUUUUGAGAAUGCUGCCCAAUUCACAGAAAAGGGACGUUUUGGAAUUGUUUUCUGCCAAAGCUUGGAAACUUUUAGCAAGUGGUCAAACUUAAGUCAAUUCAAUGUCUAGAUCCUCACCUUUUAUUUUUGAACUGAAGAGAGUAGAUGCAACUCAAAUUUCUUUUUGAUUGCCUCGUAUUCACUGUAUGCUUUUUCAACAUGAAGGGGAAGAUACAAAGGGAUACAAAUACAUUGUCUCUUCAUUCUCUAGUUAUGUUCUUGCCCUAUUUGCCUUGGAGUGUCCUAAAGGAUAUUUAUUCCUUGUCUGAGCACGGACGCAAAAGUACAUCAGAUGUAUGUACCAUGGGAAAGGUACAAUUCAUCUCCUGGAUCACGCACAAGGAAUAUACUGAAAAAAGGCACAUGGUGAGGGUAUAUUUCCAAGCGCUUCCCUCGGUUUCAUUCUCCCACAGUAUUGCCAACUUCACACGACGAGCUUAUCCAUAGCGUUCUACUAGGUCACCGCUGGUUGAUGGACUGAUGGCACAUUACAACCGCCAGGAUUACUUAAUUGAGCUUGCUUGAAGGACGCAGUGACUCACGCUACCACCCCGUUUGUUUCAUUUCACAGUUGUCCGUCGACUGCCUCCUCCUGAUGCAUGAAUGAAACGCAGCCUACCUUGAAAGCCAUCGCCCCCAUUUUGAUAAGUUGCUCCGUCCAUUCGUGUCCGGGUUUAUCUAAUCCGAGAUGCCGUGAGCCCGUGACGUGCUCUCCCUGGACGCGAUCGAUCUCCUGCCUUUUCUAUUUCCCUUUGUUUCUUUCUUGGUCGGAAGAGUAGGUGGCCAGGUUGGUUAACCACCUCACCUCCUUUGUGUGAUUGCCCAACACCCCCAAACACCUCUCACUCUCUUUCUCCAACAGCCGUCUCACCACGUCACUACACACACCCGAGAAACAAAAAUUAUCCCUUUUUAUAGGCCAUGUCAUGUACUUAGUCCAACAGAAUAGAACCAGCUCAGCUCUCGAAAGGCGUCAGAUGCUGCUGGAAAGAUGCCACAGAUCGCUCUCUACAUCCUCGCGCUGCUGACACAGUAUCUCGCCACGAUGUCGACAUCCGUCGCACUUUCACAACCAGGAAGUGGAGACAACCAUGGACCAGGCUAAAGCCACAUGUGCUUUGCCGUUCAUGCAUCGCUCCAAUAGUCCCAACCCAAAAACCUUAUUCCCCAUGAAAAUGGGCCCAAGAAUCAUCCGGUUUCAGUUUUUUCCCCCUAAAAUACACCCAAGCAGGUGCAUUCAUUAAAGAAGAAGAGCAGAGCAGUUAUAGCCCUUGCAGGCAGAGUUUUUUACAAGUUUUAUCAUGGAUAAGGAAAAAUGCUAAAACUAUCGCCAAGCAAGCCUGCACUUCUCCAGUUCGCGCCUUCCUCUUGCAAACCCCUCAAAUUUUUUUCCCACAAAGAAGGCCACUCUUUAUCGAAGAAAACCCAUAGUUGCCAAGAAUCUGGUUCGUUCGGGUUGAGGAACGGGAUCGCGUGACGCAGGUCGGCACCUUUGGGGAAAAUUAAGGAGGAUCUACCUUGGGGAAUCGACCCCGAUCCCAAAUUGGGUCGACCAACCUCGGUUCUAGGGACGCGGCGGCGACACGUGAUCCCGGCUUCUACGACAACCCUAUUUUUGUGCUUCCAGAUUGACCAACAAAUCAAGGCCACACGUGUCGCAAAAUCACGCCUAGCCUUGUCGCGCACUUGAAUCAUGGACCACCACUUUGCAAUUUUUGAAUCCUUGUCCGGGAACCAGUGGAUAGCCCCCCAUCCACGCAGGAUCUUCCACCAAACCUCCCUCGUCGUAACACAGUCCAGCAUAAUAUGCGUGAUCGAUUCGGGCUCUUGAUCACAAAGGGGGCAGCGCGGGGGAUGGUCCAGCCCUCUUCUCUCCAAUCUAUCCGCCGUCCAACAGCGAUUAUGACAAGCCAGCCACAUGAAUAAAAGGCACCUCUCCGGCGCCCCGGCUUCCUGACCAACUUAGCGCCAGCCCAUGACUCCCGUCUCUCAAGCAAGCUACCAUAGGCCAAACGGACAGAGGAUUUUCUAUUACUAGCCCAAGCGCAACGGACGGUGUCGUUGCUAGAGCCCAACACCACAUUCCCAAUCCCGACCCCAAACAUAUAGGAACUCCUGUAGCCCCCUCGAGUCAAGAUUAGGGCUCACCUGUCGUGCCUAGUUCCCGUUUUCCAUGCCAGCCACCACCGAAAGAGGAUCAAUCUCCCGCAAGUAGCAAAGGCCCUAGGCGCAAUCUCACAAAGGAGGGAUCCAUCUAGCCAAGGAUUUGUCCAGAAGAACACAUCCUCGCCAUUCCGAGGCUCCACACAACAAGCCGCUUCGAAUCCGCAGCACAAAUAGGACUUAAAACCAUCCUGAAUCCCUGAUGCAAGUGCACGAAUGCUUCCAACUUUUAUCGGUCUGGAUUUUGAACAGAAAACCAAAGGGAGUAACAUGGAUUGUUGUUGUAUUUGGCCAUCUGUAUGAAGAGCCCAAGUCCAACAACACUGGAAGUACCUUACCUCGAAGAUGGGACUCUGUCCUAGCCCAACAAUGUGGAUUGAUGAACCAAUACCGGUACAAAGAGCAAACAAUUAGGGUGGGCGUUCGGUUCAUCAGUUUUUCAAAAAGUCGAUUUCCAGAAGAUGCUCACUGAUUGGCUCUUCUAGAAAUUGCUAACCGAAAAUGGAGUUCUCCAAACAUUCGGUUCGGUUCGCGGUUCUAACCAAACAAAAUCAAUACUACCUUGCACAAUACAAUGCAAACAAAUUGGAAAAAAAAUCGAUUGUGGCGAGUUGGAGGCUAGGACGGUUGUCAACCCAAGGAGGAGGCGGGGGGGGCGGGCGGGGGUGGGAUGGGCUGGGGGGGGUACGAUUCACGUACAACACCAAGUAACAACCGUCGAUACAAGCAGCUUUGAGAUGCCACAGCCACUGAUCACAGUGUCAUACACAAAUCUGAUGUAAAAGAUCAUACACCAAUCGAGUUUUUGAAAAAAUUCGGUUUCAGUCCGGUUCUCGAUUAAAAUGCCCACCCAACAAACGAGUAGUUUUCAAAACCUCUAAUACAUGCUAGACUUCUGACAAACUAAUUUCAUAUUUUACAUCUCACAAGCUGAGUUCUACAGAGUCUUCAACAGCAGUCAUCCAUAAAGAUUUAUGACAAGACAAACAAGAUAGAGAGGGAAUCUGCAGAACAAAAAACAAGAGAUAGGGGGGCGAUGACAACAUAAACUCCACAUACAAAAACGGAACAUCAGGUAUCAGUUCAUGCUGUGCAAGAAAGCUUCAACUAACUUCAGCAGUUUGGGCCGACUCCAUGGUCCAUAGUAUCAACAUGUAACUGCAACAAGACAAAAGGGGGUCUCUGGUUAAUUAGUUCUGCUUACUCGAGGGACAAUGCUACAAAGUUAUCAGACAAUCCAAGGAACCAUGCAACCUCAGAAUGCAAGAAACCAUAAUAGCAGUGGCAGGUAAUUCUAGUCAUUUUAAGUUGUGCUUUUGCAGAAGACACUCUGUUUAUCACAACAUGUUAAUAAAAGUUCAGGUUGCCAUCUGGUUUCUGACCAAGCUCAACAUGUUUUAGAGGAAACCAGUCUGCUAGCCCUUUGGUACUUGGACUUUAUAUAAGUAACAUCAAAACAAAUUAGACUGUGAUGACAUAAAUUACGAACAACAAUUGCACAUCAGGCUAAACUCGAUUUCUUUUAUGAGCCUCCACCUACAGAUUACUGCUCACCGAUGACUAGUUCCAAUAUGUGUAAAACAGUAUGCCACACUUGCGCUUGUGGAUAGAGAGAAUCUGUGGCGCGCAGUACCCAUGUAUGUACUGGAUACUAGUUGGGCCCGGUAGAAGCACCUACUUUGGAAGCCCAAACCAAUAAUGUCUCAUGUUAGCCCUAGCACACACUUAAGCCUCUCUUCGGCACCACCCUCUGCUGAUGAAUGCACCUAAAGCAGUGAGGCUUCGGACUCAGGUCAAUUGGUGAGGCUCUUCACCAGGUCCUUCUUGUUUGCUUUGGCCUUUUGCUUACCCCGCUACAAAGCCAAUAGAACGCAUCCCCUUUCAGCCCUGGCAUGAAUUGUGCCAUUCUCCCAUUUUCUUUGUGUUUAUGUUUCAAUUAUUGAAAGUGCAGAAAAUGAAGGGCUAUGAGAUGAAAGGCAGACAAGGGAACAACAGCAAAAGCUAUAAAUAGAAUAAAAAACAUUUUUCGAAGAAAAAUAAAAAUAACAUAUUGGUAAACAACAAUUCGAAACAUCAGGUACACUGCAUAGAAAAGGGGCUCCCACCAAAGGAUUAGAAACAGGAAAAGAAAAUAUAGCACCAGUUUGGAUCACUUACCCAACAUUCACUUUGGUAUCUUGCGCAACAUUUCACCAAACUUAGAUGAUCAGGAGAAGCUGUCUGGUGAAUUCUCCCUCCUUUCCAGCCAUAUAUUCCUGUAGAAGAAUUCAUGAACAUUAUGCCGGAUCUUUUCUUCUGUGGCUGCGGUGUCUGGAGCGCUUUCUACUCCUGUCCUUGUCAGAUGACCUUCGACUACUAGAUGUAUAUCUUUCCUUGUAUUCAUGAUCACUAGAAUCAGUGUCACGGGUCCGAUGACUCCUUUUCUCCUGGCGUUUUCUCUUAUUCUUUUGACUGUCACAGGAAGAAUCGGCAUCAGGAGUUCUAAUCCUGCCUGUUCUAUGCCUUGAACGUGACUUCCUUUUCUUACUCCUACGACGUUCACUUGAAGAAUCAGAAUCAGACAUUUCACUCUGAAUUCGAUGAUGGGAUCUUCUUUUCCUACUUCUAUGUCGUUCAACAGAAGUAUCAGAAUCUGGACUGCAAUUCUGGAUUUGAUGAUGUGAAGAGUGUGACCGGCCUUCCUCAGCUCUAUGCUCCUGCUUCUCGCAUUUCAAAUCAAGUGUUUCGACAUUGGAUGAAGGACCAUCUUCUUGAGCAUUGGCAGCUUCCACCAAACCAAGAUUACUCUCAUUCUCCUUUAAUUCCCUGCAAAUAGUUGUCUUUCCAUUCCUAGAUGAAACAGUUCUAUCAGCCAUUGGAAGGAUUUCUGAUCUAAAUAAGGCAUUCGCUGGCAGGGCAGGUUUUUCUGGAGGAACAUCCAAUCCCAGUUCUUUACCCAAGGAUUCCAGGAAAUCCUCCGCAACAAGACGAUUAAGGGCCAUGUUGGCACCUUCACUUGUCUUCACUGGAUCCACCGGUUGAUUGUUCAGAGGUUCAUCCAUAUCAUCAUCUGAAUCAUCAGAAAAGAUAGCCUGCCAGACACAACAAAUAACUUGUCAACAUAGAAGUAUAGAACCCUCAAGUCUACUGCAAUCAGUUUCUAAUAAGGGGACUAUAUGUGUGACCAAACUCUGCAGCAAGCUGUGCCCAGACCACCUAUUGUAAAAAUGCAAUUUUACAAUUAAAAAAAGUGAUAAUUCGCAGAUACACAACAUUCUAUAACAUAUGCGGUUGAAAGAAAUCCUGCCAAAACAGGAUGUUAUGUAGGGCAUUCCCUAUCAUCAUAGGGUUCGACCUGACACCAGCUAUAGCCGUGAGGUCUGCCAUCUAAGUCGAUCAACCAGGGUAAUACCUGAUGGAUCAAAGUCCUAGUUCAUUAAGCAAGAGCAAUUAUGAGUCAUGUUAGGAAAGAUUCAAUUGUAUAUCUGCCAGACAAAGCCUCCUUUUACAGGGGCAGCCAUGUUAUGUUUGUCUGAAGCAAUAAUCAAUCAGAUUCAGUCCCCCCACCCCCCCCUCUUUCAAACCACGCUGCAUUCUGCUGCCACAGGCAGAUCGCCGGUCCUACCGCUCCUCCAUGCCCUAUGCAGCAAGGGCUCUUCCACAUGACCCUUUGUGAACACAGAAGUAAUUUGCACACAUAUAGUUGCUAGACUAGUUAUUCUCCUCGUCAUUGUGUACAGUACACAAGUGGUCAAGUUUUUGCACCAUUUUUUGUUAAUGCAUAAAUUAUAGCAUGCUGUCAUGCAUGAUGUUUUUUCCACAUUUUGUGGGAACUUGGCAUGUGCCCAAGAUGGGGUGCUGGCUCAAGUAGUUGUAGAAAAUCUACAUUUGGAUUAUGUCCAUAUCUUCAAGUUCUAGACAGCUUAAGCUCCUCUGAACAUGAAAUAUUUUGGAGGUUUAAUGGGGAAGCAUAAAUAAUUGCCCGACUUUUCUGACCAGACCCACAUUUAUGAUAUCCAAAAUUCUAAAUCCGCACAAGAAAUCAGAGUGUAAAAACUAUUAUAACUAAAAGCAUCAGUCACAGAUCAGUAGUUCAAUAAAGAUAGGAAUGGAAAGACAACUAUUUGCAGGGAAUUUAUUAAAUGGGAAAGCAGACCACACAAAUUAAUGUUAACACACAAGAACGCAUGAUACCUGGAUUGUAUACCCAUUUUGACUUGAAUAAUUAAUUUCCAUACCUUUCCUUUUCUAACCAAAAUUAAUUUACUCUGCAAUUUUCAAAUUCCUGGUGUUUCUAUAUUUUGGACUUCCACAAAAAUGCAUCAAAACCGGGAACAUAUUAAUGUCCCAUCCCACAGAAAGAGGUCAUUCGUCAGCAAAAUCUGGGAUCAAACUCCCCACUUUCUCCAUCAAUAUACAAAUGUGAAUAAUGAUUGAUGUACCCGCUGUUUCCAAUAAAGAGCAUGUAUACAUACUUUAAGCUAUUGUAAUGUAUGUGGCAAUAAUUUGGGAUGGCAUCUGGCAAUGCAACAUUUUCUCCACAACUAUACACUAAAAUUCUCAAGAACAUGGCCACCUUACAUUAUUGCCAUAUUGGUAUAUUAAUACAUAAUACUUGGGAAUUUAAUCAUUCAAAAAUUGUGCCGUUCAUACAUAACUAGGUAUCUAAGCAUUGCAAGAGUCAACAUAUAUAGGGUACCUACACCAAAGCAGCAUCGCUACAUUAAUAGCCCAAUAAUCAUGAAUUCUAUAUAAAAUCCGUUUCAUAUAUGUUCGUAUUUUUGGACUUUUGGUGUGUUUUGGAAGAACAAAACGGUGCACUGUUUUAUAUAGUGCGAAUUUUGAUGCUGCAAGAGGUCAUUUUCAGUGCGAGCAGAAAGCAAAGGGAGCAGACAUCAAACAUGCCUUACUGUAACAAGACUUAGUUCCUUCAGAUACAGUUUAAUUCCACUUGACUUUCUGCCCAAUCUUUCCAAUAAGAUAAUAUAUAGGGGAUACACGUUACCUUGUAAAGAUCAACAGGUCUUUGCAUAGAGCUCGACACAAUAUCAGGAUUAUCUGCAGUUCCCUGUGCCUCGGUUUCUUCUGUUCCUGACACAGAUGCGUGCUGCAGGGUCCUGCUUGAGCUAUCCACGUCAUCAUUCGUCUUUUUAGUGGAUUCUGUCAUAAACAUAAGUGUGUCCAUCUUGCUUAUUGGUCUUCUAAGAGGCAUUGGCUGCACAUAUAACAUACAUAAUCAGAUAUCUAUGUGAGUGCCAUUUUGAAAAUAUGUUCAAAACAAUAACGAAGUAAAGUAAGAACACUAUAAAGUAAUAUAAACUAAUAAAUUUAUCAGCUAGCGUAUCAGUAAGAAUUAGUGCCUUCGAACUAGACAGGAAAACCGUCCUCCACUAACACGUAAGAAGAAGUGAUUUUUUAAAGAUGGUUAUAUUUGUCAUGUAUUGCAAGGGGAAUCUCCUAAGCAUUAAUCAACAAAUGUAUGUUGACCCUCUGUAGUUGUCUAACUAGCACAUACAAAAACCAUAUAGAAUGAUUCAAAUUUACCUUUCCCAUGAAAGGAUCAACAAUAUCAAAACGCUUGCACAGUAUUGGUGAAGGCCGCCAUUCAAACUCUUCCCUCUGUGGAUAUGCGGGCUUCUCAUCUCGGGGUACUACAGAGCUCUGCAUUUAUUUUUUAAAGAUCAAUAUGUGAAGAGAAGACAUGACAUUACUUACUGAUCGGCCCCAACAAAUUAACCUACCUCCAGUUGAGUAGAUGAUACAAAGCGUUGCUCGUUUAAUCCAGGUAAACCCAAUAUUGAGAAAGGAUCUAUAGCCUUAUAUUCUUUGCCUUUUUCAAUUGCAUCUGCAGCAGCCUCAAAAUCUAGUCUUUCACGAGCACGAUCAGCCUCCGACAUAGUACUCGUAGGUACAAGAUUUGCGAGACGAAGACCUCCCUGAUAUUUUUCCUUUAGAAAUUGCUCAAACCUUGCCUGCUUUGCAGGUUCAUUUCUAAAAGGCUUCUUUGACUCUGGCACGGCAUCCUAUUGCAAAGGAAGAAUAGUCCAUUUGCAUAACAAGAACAGGUUUAGCUAAUUAAUAUAAAAGAAUGUUGCGCUGAUGAGGACUGCAAAAUAAUUGGUAAAAACAAUGUGAUACAAAAACUUACAAGAGAUAUUGGCUUGACAAAGGUGUCACCAAGAUUUGAUUGUAGUUGAACAGCGUCCUUAGCAGAAAAGGAGGAGCUGGAUGAUUUUGAGCUUCUAUCAAGGGGCCUUUCACCAAGAAUCUUUCCACGAUUCUCAGCUGUCAACUUUUCAGAAGAUGGUUUCGACUUCACAAUAUCAGGCUUUUGCUGGUCAAUAAACUUCUGCUGAUGCUCCCAUAACUUCCUCGUAUAGUAGCCACAUCCAUCUCCUCCAUCAAGGAAAAGAAACUGAGGGCUUGCUUUGCUUUUCUCCUUGUAGAAAUCCUCGAUACGUUUCCCGCAACGAGCAACCAUAGCAGCACAACCCUCAACUAAUAAUCUCAAGGUAGCGUCUUCUGGAGGAGGAACCUCGGGAGGAGCCAGAUCAGAAAACUUAUCAGCUGCCUGAAUUGGACUUGAGAACUUGUGAUGGCCAUCAAAGUCAGCUGGGAUCUCGGGAGGAUGAAAUCUGAAAAGUCAACAAUGUCACUAAAUCCCCAAAGGGAUACAGAAUAUAAAAUAUAGAUGAUAAAAUAUGGAGUAGUAAACCAAUUCACCUCAGAUGAGCUGUACUAUUAACAUAGUAUAUACAUAUAGAUGUGCUAACAGGUGGGACUGUAAAAGUUUUAAUUUAUUAGCUGAUGCACUAAACCAAAAUACAACGAUGUGGCCUUCGACAUGGCAAGACCCAUUGAUGAACUGAUGAAACCACUCAAAAUAGACUCAGCCCUCAGAAUGGUAAGAAUCCAUUUUGACAGUUAGCGCAUGUGUACCAAUUGGAAAAUUCCAUUUUAAACCCUGAUUUCUGGUGUGUGGUCCGAAUAAAACUAGAGCCUCUAAAUCCCUGAUCUUUCUACCCUGUACUUCAUAAUCCCGGCAAAUCCAGACAUUGGGUUUGUUUGGCGCACAGGACAGAGUAGAUCUGCCAUGACUCACUAACAUUCUGGCCACAUGUCAUAUUCAUCUUCUCCUUUCCUUUUCCCCGUCAAAUCUUACUUCCGCCUAUUUAUGCAUUAAAAGUUUGGUAUAAAACUCGAUAAAAAAAAACCAAUUCAUGUGCACAGGAAAGAGUAGAUCCACCAUGACUCUCACUGACUUCUGAAUUAGUCGUGUCAUAUAAAUCUCUGGAACUUCCACAAGAGAAGUUUGGCACCAAUAGAUGGAACUUGACCAUUAUGCAACAGGUUUCCAAAGCACAAUACAAUUAGCAAAAUAAAAAGUAACAUCAUGACAACAUGUGGAAAGACAAAGAGUCAAACAAGUUAUACUUCCAAACGUGAAUCAAGUAAUGGAUACAAAAACAAAGUAUUGCAUGAACAUUAAUCAAUUAUGAACUGAAGAGAAAUGUUACCUUUCAAGUUUGUACUCGGAAUUCAGGGCCAUUUUGAAGGUCAGGAAGACACCUCUCCUCCUGUCUUCAAGUUUAAACUUACUAUCACCAAUUGUUUUUGAAGGCUCGAUAUCCACUUCCGUUUGUUCAUAAGAAAAACCUGAAAAAACUAAUGUUAGGAUUAUAAAAAUUUAGAGGGUAAAUCUGUUUUAAAAAAAGAUAGAAUCUUCAAACAGUGAAACAACAAGCCUAUUAAAUCUCGUGAAGUUGAAUAUGCAGUUGCACAACUGCAAAGGCUUCCAUUCGAGAAAACAAAUCUUCGCAGAAAAAUAGAUUUCCUCAUGAGAGGAAUAACCAAUGUAUGUUCAGAAUCUGCCAUAACCCACUGCUGCACUUCAAGACUGACGCACCCAACAUAUGCUUCCAUCAAGCCCCCCACAUUAAUACUGUUUAAACUGACCAGAAUAUUAUUCAUUUACCUGAUGCAUAAAUAUCCUCAUCUUCAACAUCAAGCUCUUCGAGUGCUCCAAUUCCAAAGCCAGGAGCAUAUUGUCCUGCUGAUGAUCGAACCACUAGUUAAGACUUUUGUCGCAAGUAUGUUUAAGAAAUAUCGACAAAACAAACAGUAUGAAAGGACCAUGACUAUCAUACAGUUCGAAAGCAGGAGAUUUCCCCUCAUUGAAAUAUCACUUCUGUUGCCGUCCCUGUUAAGUGACUUCUGCAAUCUUUUCCUAUCUGCAAAAGUAAUAAAUGUGGUUUAAGCAGUGAAAAAAAAUCAAAUGAUUAUCUUUGUCGAAAUAUGGUACCUUUAAACUCAGGAGCAUGCUUGAAUGGGUCAAAACCUAAACCAUGUAAAUCUUCUUUUGGAUGAAGUACAUAUACCUAAUGUUAAUGGAAAAUCAGGCGAUCAGCUGAUGUUUUCUUCAUGUGUAUUGCAAAUGUACCAUGCAACCACAAAUAUGAAACUUGUUAGUAUUUGCAUGCACAAUUUUGAGCAACAACAAACAACUACUGACAGCAUGACUCAUGGGAUGCAAGGCAUAGUUUUGAAUACGGCAUGGCAAGUUGCGGCGACCCACCCCCUGCACAGCUUUAUAACGCUUGCGGCGUGCGGCGUUGCGACUUCACAGAAAUAUACUAGCCUAUAAUGGCACCGUAUAAAUCACCAAUUUAGUACAUAUGUAUAUCUUGAUUAAUUUUCACAGAAAUAUAAUAGCCUAUAAUGUCACCAUAUAAAAUUAUAGCACAAAGUCACCAUUAAUUUCUAACGAUACCUAACAAAUUAUAGCAGAACUAUAAUCUAUAAGCAGAACCGAGCAGGGAGGAACAAAGUAGACGGAGCAAGAGAGAGAUGAACAGAACAGAGUAGCGAGAGGGAGAGAGAGGGGCCGAACAAAGCGGCGAUGGGUGUUGGAGCUGCUGGCGAGGGGAUGGAGCCACUGGCGAUGAGGGUUGGACUUGGACCGCUGGCGAUCGUGGAUGGAGCCGCUGGUGAUGGGAGAUGGAUCCGCCGGCGAUGGGGGAUGCAGGUCAUUCGAUCGAUUCCCUCUCCUCUCUCUUUCUCCCUCCGCGCGGACUGGUUUCCCCCCCCCCCAAAUUUCUCAGUCCAUUCCCUAUUUCCCUCUCCUCUCUCUUCCUCCUUCCCGCGCGCGCCUGCAAUUUCUCCUUCCCGCCUGCUUUUUCUUCCGCACGCCUGACAUUUUCUUCCGCCCGCGCCUGACAGUUCUCCUGCCUGCGCCUGCUCUGCCUAUUCGGUUGUGUAGCGUCGUAUUUCAACCGCUACUGCAUCUGUACCGUCCACGGACGCCAUCUCGACGCCACAGGACGCGACCGAGACGCCACAGGCCAUUUUUAUCGCGUGGGUCGACGCGACCGAGGCCAGGGGCGCCACGACGUUGUAGCGUCGUUAUGGUGACGAGAUGGCGACGUAUUAAAAACUAUGAUGCAAAGUUCUCUCCCCAGCCAAGUGAAGCAGAAAAACUAAAAACUGAGAACCCCUCCAGAGCUAGACCCAACCAAUGGCAUAAUUAGAGAGCGAUUGUGGUUCAUGGCAAUGCAUGUCCUACCGAUUUUUGCCAAAAAAUUGGCUAGCCAAAAAAUUUGCUAGGGAUGCCAUGGCCCUUGGUUCGCCAAAAUUUUGGCUAGAAAUUUGUAGGGAGAACCAAAAUAGCGUACAUUUCGAGUGGCAAAAAAAAAAACUGUUCUCUUAACUAAAAUGUUUGAGAACAUUCACUGCCUGCACUAUAUGCACCUUGCACAUAAUCCAGCCAACCAAACAACGUUUCACAUAUGCAAGCUGACCCAAAAGCAGGAAACCAACCAAAAUCAGUCUUAGACACUAAUCCAUAUGUCUUCUAUAGUUCUCCUUAGAAGAGCAGUGUUCAUAAACAAUUAAACAAGCAAACAUAUCGGCUUGAACAUAUAAUGCAGAAAGUUACACUUGUCCUACUUACGGGGGUAUUUCCAGAAGCACGUAUUUUGUCAAAUGACUCUGCAACAUUUUCAUCCAUCCUAGAUGUAUGAGAAGCAAUUUGAUCUUGGUCCUCAACAUUACUAAUACCAGAGAGUGCAAGAAAGGCUUUCCUAGCUUCCCUGCGUGAUUCUGCAUGCAUAUAUCAACAAUCAAUAAUUAGAGAACAGGACACCAGCAAUUUCAAACAAUCAGACCACUAUUUGAGAAGCAAAACAAAAUUUAAACAAAUAAUACUUCUGGACUAAGAUAAUUUAUGACUCAAAUAUUCCGCAGCAGACACAACAGGUCAUUCAUGGCUGUAGUAACUAGUAACCACACGUUCUAACUAAACGAUAUGUUACAAUGGUUGAAUUUAUGAAAAACUUGGUCCAUAUAUCAAUCGCGUGUUCUGACUAAAUGAUAGCCUGCACUUUGAAUAAGGAUGGUUGAAUUUAUGAAAAACUAUUGAAGGCGACAUGGGACAGUUGUCCCGUAUAUCAGCUAUGAAAUGCUUUAGAUUCAUAAUGCAUACCAUACAAGGAGUCAGCAUGUGCAUCCUUGAUGGUACGACCUUGGCGCCAGCCCAUUUUCAUCAGUAAUUUCACACCUGCUCAAAUUAUGUCAAGAUAUUACUUUUAUCUGAAAAUACAUAUAAUGAUGCACAUCUGGAAGAGAUAAGGAACAGAGAAACAAACCAAUCGAGGUUGUGCCAGGGACCACUAAUUCAUCCGGAACAGGUCCAGGAAUAGCUGAUGGUCUGCAUACAGGUAUGUGACAAUCUAACAAUUAGUACUUCUGCAUCAAUGAGAAAGCCAAUUCAAAUUGAGUAGCGAGCACACUAAGCUUAGCUUUUUAUUUGAUUAAAUAUCAUGAAACCCCAACAAUUGGGGGGUAUCAAAUAACCAUAACUUUAAAAAAAAUAAAUCAAAUAACCACAACUAUUUGGCUCACUAGUACUAUGAACCCAAAUUGUGAGAUUUCGGGCCUUCAACAGCAAAAACUAACCGUUUGGGCCCACUGGUCAGUCACUAUGUGGCCAAAAACCCGGAGACAGUUGCUUUCCACCCAAACUGUGCUGAACCAGCCUGAACCUAGAGUAAAUAUCAAGGAACCACAACACCGGGAGUUCCAGUUCCAGAAAACCAUAACAUAGUUUCCACUGGUUGAAUAUUUUGCCUUACUGUAGGGCUUUUUAAGCUCGACUCUCUUUUCUGGUCGAUCAUAUGCGAUUUAAUAUUCCCUCCGAUCCAUAAUAAGUGUCUCAGAUUUUGUACUAACUUAGUACAAAGUUGUACUAAAUCUGAGACACUUAUCAUGGAUAGGAGGGAGUAGAAAACAAUUAUGGUGUAUGAUGAAUACAUAUGGGGAUGGGAAUGGGCAUAUUUACAAAAGGAGAACAUAACUGUCAAAAACACAUGAUAAUAUAUAAUAUAAGUGUUUGCUCGGUACUCGAUGAACCACUUGAACUUUAAAUAAUCUUUUCAAUAGAGCAAAAUAAAUUUGUUAAAAAGAUGAAUAGAAAUUAAUUUUAUAUGACAACAAAACAUUUUUCAUAUUGUGUUUAUUUAAAACUAAAAGCCCGUUGUUGUGGUUCCUUGAUAUUUACUCCGAGUUCAGGCCGGUUCAGACAUUUCGGGGUGGAGCAACUGUCUCCAGGUUUUUUGUCCACAUGGCGACUGAUCGGUGGGCCCAACCGGUCAGUUUUGUUGACAAAGGCCCCAAACCUCAAAAUUUGGGAUCUCCGUUCAUAAUUAGCGAAAUAGUUGUUUUCAUCUGAGAUAAAUUGUAAGUUGUGGUUAUCUGAUACCAAAUCCAACUGUUGGGGUUUAAUGAUAUUUACUCGUAUAUUUUAAAAGGCAAGCUUACGGACAAAAUAGAUAGAUAAAGACAAGUAAUACUACAAGUUGAAGUUUAUAUAGCUAGAUAGGCACAUCAGGCCUCGUACAAUGGCCUGACAGCAUACUUCCCGUAGCAAUGCCACGCAGGAUAAUUGCUGACAUGGAAGAGAGUGAUGAAAAAAGAGGCAUGCCUUUCUCUUAACCAAGAGAUGAUCGAUCUCUCAUCGCUCAUCGGAAGUCAUUUUUCUUCAUUUGUACUAUGUCAUUUCUUAGUCACAGACUUCCUAAUUAAAUUUAAAUCACGACAUACUUUUUAGAGGCGUGCAAACAUUAAUUGCUAGAAAUCAUACUAAGAGGUAACUUAUUAUAUACUCCGUAUUUGCAUAGAAUGUUUUGUUGUCAUCUCUAGAUGGCAUGUAGGAUAAGAGAAGACUGCCUUCUCAACAACUGUACAUGCCCUUAAUGCUUCGGUGCAAAUAAAAGUAGAGAUGGCGGUUAGAAGAAAAGUUGAUUAACAGUGAGUUAGGCUAACUUCCACCCAUUAACACAACAAGUUCAGGCAUGUUUGUCUUUCAUGAUAAUUGUAUGGUUCGCUACUUUAGCUUGGGCACACCGAAGUUACUUACUAUCUGACUGACCCCUCAUAGACACAAUCGUUGGACAAGAAACAUUCCUAAUAUGUGACAACAAUUUGGUUGCCACAGCAAAGAAGCAUGGGUUGCCACAGUUUACCAAAUCUACAUCGAUGAAGUGUGGUAGCCAAUGAAACAUCAGCCAAGCUCUACAGCAUGAUGGUUAUAGAAUAAUAGCACAUAAUGUAAAGAUGCUAACCUCUCGCUCUGUUCCUUCGAUGCUUGUUUUCGAGCGUGUUCUGCAGCAGUAAAACCAAAUGUAUCAUACUGUUGAGAUGUUUCCAAGGCGUUACCUCCCAUAUCCUGUGAUUAGAGCUUGGAACUGUCAACAGAUUAAUUCAUAUUUUCAUGGAACAGAUUCAUUCCGAUAAAAAACUUGAAUACCAUCAAAGCCUUGGAGGUCAAGGUGAGUCAAAUACGUAAACAUUGAGAGUGGAUCAAGAAGCAGCAAUACAUGCUGGUCAAGCUUUAGAGUUUACACUUUUUUUACAUUCAAGAAACAAUGAAGACAGUUUAUGAGGACAAUUAUUGUUUGCUUCUCUGAUAGGCAUCAUCUAGACUACAUAUGCUUUUACUGCAAGCAUUUCCAGACAGAUGCACGGUGUUACAAGUUAAUUAAUUGGUGUCUACUCAAAGCUGAGUAACAUGCUUGCCCAUGCUCAUAGUUAUCUUUAUCUUUACACUUAUAAAGAUUCGAGUUGGUGGUUGUCAAUUCACCCUAUCGAGACUACUCCCUAGCCUGUUAGAUAAUCACUUGAUUGCCACCCAUUCAAUGUGAUAUAGAUAUAUAUAUCAAAAUCUUUUGAUUGUAGUUGAUGUGGUUUGAUGUAUACUUUUGAGAUAAUUGUUUUCUCAAAUAAAUAUUUUGAGAGAAUUCCUAUUUAGCAUGAAGUUGGAAAAUAUGCAUAAGAGCAUCUCCACCAGCUUCCCUAUAAUUGGUUACCUAAAACCAGUUAUAGGGAUACGUGAGAGAAGAAGUUGGUCAAGUUUUUUGCCUCUUCUCCUUCUCCACCAGCUUACCUAUCCCCAUUCCCUAUUUUCUUCUAUACCUCUCUAUGACACAUGGGACCCACCCGUCAUUGAGACAACAUAAAUCCCCAAUGCCUUCUUCCUCCAAGCCCUAUACUUGCGCCCGCUGCUGCCUCCGCGAUGCGCCGCCUCUGCCUCCUUGCUGCGCAGCUCCCUCCGCACCUGGCCACGAGAGCCCGCCGCCGCGCCCCGCCACGGGAUCCCACGGCCGCGCCCCGCCGCACGAGCUCUCCGCCCCACCGCACCUGUGCCCCACCACGGGAGCCCGCCGCCACGCCCCGCCUGUUGCUCGAAGCUCACGCCCGCAGCUCGCCCGAGGAAGAUUUGGAGGCGCAGCCGAUGCCUGAGUCUGGAGGCGGCGAUGCGCGAGGGGAGCUCGAAUCCGGCCGUCUUGGGCACGAUUCCGCCCGCCACGAGCACGAUUCCGCCCGCCGCGGGAUUAUUCCGGCCGCCGCGGGCUUGAAUUUGGAGAACCUCGUAGCCGGGGAAAGUUCCGCCCAAGCAGUUGGCUCUCCCACCAGCGUGUCCCAGUUUUAGGUAAUGGACUUUUGGUUACCUAUAUUUGAGUAUAGGAGACAGAAAAUAUGGGUAACUACCUAAAAAUAUAGGGAUAGGUCAUAGGUAAGCAUAUAGCUAAGCUGGUGGAGGUGUUUUUUGAGUCCCAUUUGGUAUAAAAGCAGUUUUUAGUUAUAGGUAACCAAUUUGAGUAAGCUGGUGGAGAUGCUCUAAGUAUUUAAAAUAACUCAUGCAUGUAAUAUAUAAUUUUAAUUCCGUAGCAACGCAAGUGCAUUUAUCCUAUACUGACAAAGUUUUGCACAUCACGAAUAUUGAGAUCCUGUCCUUUAUCAUUGAAUUAUACUCCAAGCCAUGGAGCAAUUUUGUGCACAAGCAAAAAAAUUAUCUUAGCACUGAAAAAAAAACUGAAAACCAAAGCGUUUUCAUUUUAACUGUUUCUUCCUCACUAGAAAACUAGAACAUGAUGUGUUUGUCAUAGCACUGAAAAAAUAAAACGUUAAGCAGUCUAAGUUGAAGUACCUUAAUUCGAAAUAUAACAUAACAGUAUGUAAUCACUGCAAAUCAUGAACCAGAUUUAACUUUCCAUACAACAAUGUGACCAACAGAAAGAAAGAAGACAAAGACAUACCUUGAUAUCUUCCUCAUCAAGAAAAUUAUAUAUGCUUUGCUUUUUAUGCUCGGCUCUACUUUUUCGUGACGAUGUAAAUGUCUGCGGCGUCCAUCCUGAAGUAAACCAUAGUAUUUACAACACCAUCCAUUUCUUCAGUGGCAAAGUCACAAAUUAGAAUCACAAGCUUCAGAAAUUAUACCCUCUUUUGAGCCAGCAGUAUUGUAAAAGCCAGCAGAGAAGCCUCCAGUGAAUGCACCAUGAAAUCUUCUCCGCCCUUCCUCAUCCCUCACCUACAAUCCGAUUACCAUUUCAUUUUUAGUAAACAAAGAAGAGUAUUAUUACUUCAAGGAAACCAUAUGCUACAAAACUUAACAGUAACGGCAAUAGAAGAGAAAGUCCAAAUGCCCAAUACAUUGGUAACAAAAGAAGGAAAACUAAAAAGAAAUAGCUCGCUCCACACAGUUCCGCCACGAACCCUAAAUUAAAGAACAUUUUUGCAGCAUCCCUGAAUGCAACAAACGCCAUUAAAGAAGUUAAAUGGCUUCUAAAACCCUAAAUUGGAACAAACUCAACAGCUCACUUUCCCUGAUAGAGCAACAUGUAUACACUAACUUAGAUAGUGACCAUAGCUCAGCUUAUCAACAUCCAACACGCCAUGAGUCACCCUCGUAUGAGGUAAGCAUAUCUCUCUUUAUUCUAAUAUAUCGACUCCUAGAGUAGCAUCGAUAUUAAGCCACGUCAUCUCUGAAACAAUAGCCAUCAGAUAAAACCUAACAAUAAAUCUUAGACCUUGGAUCAUAAAUUGCCAAAAGGUGUCUACAAGAAGAGACAACUUUCGGAUUGGAUGGAAGUUGGUUUAACCAUACAGUGAUGGAAAAAGAUGCUAGCAUACAACUGCCUGGCACUUCAGCUUGGAGGACAGAGUCGUGUUUGAGAUGUAAACAACAGCAUGUCGGACGAGAUCGUGGUGGCAGUGGUGCAGGUGCAUGAGAUCUCCAGCCACUCGGGCAAGAGGAGCUUCCCUGAGUUCUUUAGCUCUAUAACAUGCAAGGCAUCAUUGUGGAGCGCAAAUCAUUGGUGCAUUCCCUGAGUGCUCUUGUUCUAUAAUGUGCAAGGCAUCACUGUGGAGCGUAAAUCGUGGGUGUGUUCUUCCAGGUGGCAAGUCGGUAAGUUUGACUUUGAUCAGAGAAGAGUAGUUAUUUUUUCUUGUAGCAAUGCUACACAAGGCACCGACAAUGUGGGUCAAACACCUUUACUAUGAAUCUUGGCUGAGGAACAGUUGCGAUCAAUUUCCCUAUGAUCUUGCGGAAAUGAGAUUUACUUCAUGUUUUAAGAGGCUUUGAUUGCACGUACUAAUCAAGCUCUAUGACAACAGAGAGCAAUUGUCAAAUUUCGUGGGAAUAAAAUACAUUCAACACAUAAAUUGCCGUUACCACGGUGAACUUGAAUAGAAACACAAUUACAGAAUGAACAAUUAUGUUUGCAUAUUACUGUAUAGUGGCAAGAAGUAAUUAGUAGAUACUCCAACUUUUGCACCCUACAUCUAUAUUACUAUACCUCAGUGUGUACUGCAGGAGCAGAUUCCAUAACCUUAAGCAAGUGGAUUAAAACUAAAGCUAAAACUAAUUUUGAAUAAAUAUCCUACAUCUUGAAUUAUAUACUCCGUAGAAUGAUAUCGUAACUCAAUGGCUUAGCAGGCAUGGGCAUGACACUACUAUGUUGAUAAUAGUGGCAGAGAGAACGAGAGGGAGGGACCUCCUGCUUCCAGGCGGGGAGAGCACGGAGCUGGCCCGCAUCGGCGACGGCCCGGCGCUUGCGGGCCGAGAUGUCCUCCUCCCGCUCGAUCGGCGUCCCGUAGACCACAAGAUCUUGGUCGUCGUCGUCGAAAGCCAUGGCAGAGGGAGACGCGGCGCCGGAGCCCUAGCGCCGAAGCUGGGUAGACGAUUGGCGAAAGCGAGACGUUGGUAGAAAGGCAAGUGGACCAGGGAUACGGCGGGGAAACCCUAGCAGAGGAGACGUUGAUAGAGAGACAAGUGGGCCAGGGGAUUCAGAGGCAGAGGGGAUGGAGCGAGAGGAGCGGAGGGCGGCGGAGGUAAGACUGGGGACGGCGGCGGGCGCCGGUAGAGGAGGAGGAGCGCGCGGCGGCGAGCGGCUGCGGGGGACCGGCGGCAGAGGCUGCGGGAGGAGAGAUUGCGACGCUGCGCCCAAAAAUAAAAGGACUCUGCUACAGUACCCCGAAAUUAAUAUAACCCGUCCAUUUGUUUUGAUCGGUCCAGAUUAACUGCUACUACUCGAUACUCCGAUCGGGAUGCCUGGAGUAUUAUCAAGAUGGAGUGUCAAGAAGUCCAAUAGCCUCCCUACUUCACCCCCUAUCCUCAAAUUUAGGUUUUCUCGACACAAAACAGUCUCCAGCAGAGCCUCCUUCUCCCUCCCGAAACUGAGACGGCCCCGAUACUUCCCUCCCGACGACCCAAACUGAGCGCCCCGGUAGGGGAUCCCGAAAGCAACCGUCGGACGCGGAAUCCGCCUCUUCGCGUGCAGGUUCUUCUUCCUUUCCCUUCCCUCCCUUCCCUGUUGUACAUUGCAUGCGGCGGUCGGCGAUUUGGUUGGGCGGCGGAUGGGGAUUCCGGCGGCUGUGGCCGAGGCAGGGGAGGCCGGGGGCGCUGCGGGGCGGGAUGGGGUGGCCGGCGGCGCGGGGUGGGGAGGCCGGCGGCGCUUGGGGUCGGGAACUUGGGAUGGGGAGGGAUGGGACGGCGGCGGUGGUGGGCGGGAUGGGGAGGAGCGGCGCUGCGGGGCGGGAUGGGGAGGCCGGCAGCGGUGGGUGGGAUGGGGAGGGAUGGGGCGGCGGCGGCGGUGGGCGGGAUAGGGAGGGCGGCGGCGGUGGGCGGGAUGGGGAGGGAUGGGCCGGCUAGGUCAAAGGAGGGGAGGGCGUCCGGUGCUGCUUUCGGCCGGUGCUGCUCCCGGCCGCAUGGGCACUCGCCAGAAGAGGAGGAGGGGAGGGCGCUGGUUCCAUGGUUUGGACUGCAGAGAGAAGAGUAGAAUUUCUAUACAUAUAAUGUAGAUGCAAAUUGGUAGAUCAAUUUAGUUGUUUUUUCAUGAAAUCAGAUCAUACAAUUGUGACUAAAUUGCUUAUAAUUUUUUAGUGUGUUUCAAUGGAAAGCUAGAGACCUUUGUUGUUGUUUCAUGAGAGCAGUUCAUACACUUGUGAUAGAAGGAAGACAGAGAGGUGAGAAUCUUGUGCAGAUUGAUGGGUGUUAGAAAUAUUUGUACAUCAAUUUUAUAGAAAUGUAGAUGUAGAUUAGUAGAUCAAUUUUGUUGUUUCAUGAGAGCAGAUCAUACAGUUCUGAUUAAAUUUCCUAAAAUAUUUUUAGGGUGUUUCGAUGGAUAGCCAAGAUAGUUCCAUGGGUUUGUACACAAAUUUGUUGAGUGAAGGAUAUAUUGAGGAAGCUUGGGGCGAAAAUUUGAGCAAUCAAUUUGGAGCACAGCCAAUGCAAGCUGAAGUUCCUACUCCUCCAGUAAAAGUAAAUAACAAGAGGAAAGGAAAUUUCAGUGACAAAGAAGAUGAAGUGUUGGUGGCUGCAUGGUUGCAUGCUAGUAUGGAUCCAAUAGUAGGUGCUAAGCAAAAGAGUGCGACUUAUUGGAAUAGGAUCCAUGAGGAGUAUGAAUUGCACAAGCCAGAAGGAAGUGACCGCAGUGUCAAUUCCUUAUCACAUCGUUGGUCCGUUCUGAAAGAACAAGUGGGUAGGUUUUGUGGAUGCUACGAUCAAAUUAUGCAUAGGCACGAAAGCGGGAAGACAGAACAAGAUAAGGUAGUUCACCUAGUCGUUUAAUUUCAUUGUAUAUUCAUAUGUUUUUUGCCAAUAUACUAAGACCUAUUCACUUGUGCAGAUUGUUGAUGCUCUCAAAUUGUUCAAGUCACUAGAUAAGACCCAUAAAGGGUUUGUGCUACUGCAUUGUUGGAACAUGAUGCGUUUCGAACAAAAGUGGUUGGCUCAAACUGAUAGGUCAUCUCAAAGUAAUAAAAAACAGAAGUCAAGCUCAAAUGCAAGUCCGAGUAUGUCUACUCAUGAAACCAACACGGUCCAUAUUGAUGACUUUGAAGCUACAUCUCCGGCCAAAGCGGAUCACAUGAAGAGACCUAUUGGGAAGAAGGCGGAGAAAGUGUGGCAACGUCGAGGUAAAAAUGUUACCUCUUCAGAUGAUAGUAAUGUUGUCAUGGCAUUGGAUCUUGUGUUUUCAAAGGGGGAGGCAAGGGAGAUGGCAAGAGAAACAGCAAGACAAGCAAGAGAGAAUGCAAGAGAGGCAUCAAAGAAAGAGCGUUAUGAAGGAGCACUUGCAAUGGAGCAAAAGAAGAUUGAAAUUGAGGAAAGGAAGAUGGAAAUGGAAAUCAUGAACAAGGACCUUAGUUCUUUGGAUGAUGAUCAAAAAGAAUACUACAGGAUGUUACGGCGUGAUAUCAUUGACCGACGAUCUAAAAGAUCGAUUUGAGGUCUAUGGAUUAUGUUGUUGUACGAACUAUUUGAGGUUUAUGUUAUAUGAACUAUUUGAGGUCUAUAGAUUAUGUUGUUGUAUGAACUAUUUGAGGUUUAUGUUGUUGUAUGAACUAUUUGAGGUCUGUGGAUUAUGUUGUUGUAUGAACUAUUUGAGGUUUAUGUUGUUGUAUGAACUAUUCGAGGUCUAUGGAUUAUGUUGUUGUAUUUACUAUUGAGGUCCAUGGACUAAUUCAUUAAAGUAGUUGCAUACAUUACCAUACAUAAUAUUACAUCCCUCCAUAAUGUAAAAACAGUACAUGCUAAAUAGAUCAGGUCGGCAGGGUAACCUUCUUCGGGACAAAACCUUUCCGAUUUAGAUCCUAACUCUAACUAGGUAAGUUGCGCACUACAUUGCCCCAUAAAUUUGCCAUAGGUGCUCAACCAGGUCAUCUUUCAGUUGAGAGUGGACUUGUGCGUUGCGGAUGUCAAGAUGAUUCUGAAUGAAGUUCGAGAAUUCAGCCGUCUAUGUAUGAGAGGGAAUAACCUUUUCUCCCAUGUUGUCGUAAUUGUAGUCUUGUGGACCUUCGUCUCGCUCGUCUUCAACUAUCAUGUUAUGCAUGAUAACACAAGCUGUGAUGAUAUCAUGGAGUACUUCUUCAUCCCGCAGUCUUGCUGGUCCACGAACAAUUGCAAAACGAGCUUGAAGAACUCCAAAUGCUCAUUCCACAUCCUUCCUAUGUGCUUCUUGACAUUUUGCAAAAUAUUUAUUCUUUUGCCCUAGUGGAGAGGGUAUUGUCUUAACCAAUGUUGCCCACUGUGGGUAUAUGCCAUCGGCAAGGUAGUACCCCAUUGUAUAAUUGUUACCAUUUACUGUAUAAUUUACCUGUGGAGCUUGCCCUUCUGCUAGCCUCGUGAAGAUAGGGGAACGGUGAAGAACAUUGAUGUCAUUAAGAGAGCCUGGUAAACCAAAGAAGGCAUGCCAAAUCCAAAGAUCCUGUGAAGCAACAGCUUCCAGAAUGAUUGUGGGCUCGCGCACAUGGCCAGUAUACAUACCUUGCCAUGAAGAAGGGCAAUUUUUCCACCCCCAAUGUAUGCAGUCGAUGCUCCCUAGCAUUCCAGGGAACCCUCUGCUCUCUCCAAUUGCAAGCAAUCUAGCAGUAUCGGCAUCAUUUGGAGAUCUAAGAUACUCAUCUCCGAAAACUUCAAUAACAGCUCUAACAAAUGCUUUCAUACUAUCUAAAGCAGUACUUUUUUCAAUCCAAACGUACUCAUCUGUAGCAUCCGCUGCUACACCAUAAGUCAACAUUCGAAACACUGCAGUAGCCUUCUGAAGAGAUGAUAACCCAAGUUUUCCAGCAGCAUUUCUUUUCUGCACAAAAUAGCUAUCGUGUUCCUGCACAGCUUUCACUAUGCGAAAAAACAACGGCCGAGCCAUUCGAAACAUGUGAGAACAAAGGUAAUUAGUUGUACACUAGAUGAACAAUAAAAAUGCAAAUAAAAACCAUAUAUAAGCAUUGCAUACCUUCGGCGAAAAUACGAGGGGCCAUAGACAGGAUGCUGCGCGAAGUAGUCUUCAAAUAAUCUACCAUGCCCAGCUACCCUAUCGCGGUUAAUUACCUGACGACCCGACACAGAACCGCCACGGCGUCGAGCAUUGAAUCGCAUGUUUCCGUUCAGAACUAUGGCCGCUGUAGCAACCAUUAGUUCAUGGCCGUCAUCUUCAUACUCCUCCUCCUCCGACGACGAUGAACUCACGUAUUGCAAAAGUGUGCUACGACGCAUUUUGUGAGAGGAGGCUGAGAGAUGUGGCAGAGAGUGAAUGAACAAUGCUUCAGAGCUCCACAUAUAUAUAGACCAAGAAAUAUAGCCGUUGGAAAUAUAACCGUUCAAAAUAUAGCCGUUUGGAAAAGAGCCGUUGAGAAAAUAGACAUUGUAAAAAAUCCGUUGCAACAUAUUCAUUUAAUUAAAAAAUUCACAUAAUUAAAUUAUAAUAUUAUAGUUUAUUUAAUAAUUGGAUAUAAAUAAAAUACAACUAUUAAAUUUAAAUUAUAAGCGUUUCAAAUGCAAAAUUUCAAUUCAAGUCGUUUGAAAUAUAGAUGUUUGCAAAAACGGUUGAUGGAUAUGAAUAAAAUAUGGAAGAAUGAAUUAUAGGGGCUGAGAUUUGAGUAGUCUGAGGAGAUGAGAAAUUUGAGGAGAGAAUCUUGUUUAGGGAAUCCCCGUAUAGAGAUUUGAGGGUUCAAAUUUGAGUAGUCUGCUGGACUUGCUCUAAAGGGUAAAAACGUUAACUUGACCUGACCGUGGAGAGGCUCACCGGGCGACUCAGCCGUCAGCACGCGAGCCGGCAACCACACAACACCCUCCGCCGACUCUCUCUCUCUCUCUCUCUCUCUCUCCUGCGCGGCCCAGGCGUCCAGCCCACGGUGGCGGAGAGCCUCCUGUUCGUCCUCCCCCCUGCUCUCUCCUCUCCUCCCCAUCGACCUCCCGCGGAUUCCUACCGAUCUGGUGCAACGGAUCGAUCGCUUGGCAUGGCGCCUGCGCGUGCGGCAACACGACCUCACGUGCGAGGGCAGGGAGGAGCUCGUGCGGUCCACCAUGAAGAACGGCGCCAUGGUGAAAAUUGCGUCGGAUGCUGCGGCCAUGGGGCAGACCAUGGAGCAGACCGGAUGGAACAUCAGGAAAAACAUCCAUCGCCCCCCUGCGGAGCUGAAUUUUCUGCACCAAAUCUGCGCCAUGUCUCUCCCCAAAAGAGCCUAAUUGGCUAAAAACAGGACGGCGGGGCGGACACCUGGGAGGAGGACGGCGGCGGCGCGGACUGGGGACGCCUCGGCGUGGACGCCUAAGAGGAAGACGCCGGCGCGGGUUGGGAGGAGGACGGCGGCGGCGCGGACUGGGGACGCCUCGGCGUGGAUGCCUAAGAGGAAGACGUCGGCGCGGGCUGGGAGGAAGACGCCGGCACAGACGCCUGGGAGGACGGCAGUGGCUCGUUGCGAUGGGAAGGGCUCGGUCGCGAUGGGGCGGACAGCGGCGGCUCGGUUGGUUGAUGCCUGGGAAGAGGCCGGCGGCGUAGCGACAGACGGGAAAGCUUGGGGAAAAUAUAUUUUUAAUUUUAUUAUUAAUGUGAAAAGUCCAAAAUAUCCUUUCCUAAUACUCCACUUACACUAAUAGAGUAUUAGGUACUAUAGAAUCUGCAAAAAAAGGAUGAUGAGGGAUGUCAAUGGGUACCUGUUACCCGCUUACCCAGCGGGUAAAUACCCACUAGGGCACGGGUUUGGACUAAAAACUUACCCACGGGUACGUAAAUGGGAAAAUUUCCGUACCCAUCCGGUAGAGCAGGUACCCAUACCCAUGUACCUGUUUACCCAUAUACUAACUAGUGUGUGUGUGAUCUUCACGGAGAAUACAGGCUCACAAUGUGCUGCAGUUUUUGUCAUGAUGUGUUGUUAUUUUUAAUGAUACAUUGUCUUUCUAUGUGUUGUUGUUGUUUAUAUUGUGGUGGUGUAGUGUUGUUUAUGACAAGAUUAUUGCUUUUUUCAGAAAAAUAUAUUGAUUCUAAGCAAUAUAUUGUUGUUUACGGCUAUGCGAUUAAAUUUUAACAUAUCUUUACCGCGGAUGCCAGUCUACCCUAACGGGUAACGGGUAUGGGAAAAAGUUGUACCCGUUGGCUGGUAUGGGUACGAGUAACGGCCAAGAUCCAAAGGAGCGGGUAAGAUCAAAAAGUGCGGGUGCCAUCCCUAGUGAUGCAUGCGUUUUCUUCAGAGGAUCAGAGGAUCAGAGCAUCUCCAUCAACUCCAGAAGAUCUUAAGGCCCCAAUAGCUAAAUUUAGGGGAUUUUGGCCUAAAAUCGGCCUCAAGCAGAACCCUCCCAUCCCCCAUAUCGACGAGCGCCCCAAAUCCAGGUCAGGAUCCCCCAUAUGGAGGAUCGAGCUUGGGAUCCCCUAUCCCUCAACCGCCGACGCUAAAGCAUCCCUCCCGCCGAAUCCUCCUCUCCGCCCAGUACGCGUCGUCACCAUCUUCUCCUUCUUUCUCCGCCUCUCUUCUCUGUUUGCUUCGCCGGAGUGGAGAUGCGGCCGGAUCUUGCAGAAGUUGGAGGGGCUUCGGUAGAGGAGGGGAGGGGUAGCUGGCGGGGAGGCGUUAGGCUGUGGGGUGAGGGGUCGUUGGCGGCCUAAGCAUGGGGGGGGGGGGGUGGCUGGCCAGCAGGGAGGAGGGAAGGGGCGCAGGGUGGCCAGAGGUGCUGCAGAUUGGGGAUUGGCCGGCGACGCUGCGGAUUGGGGAUUGGGACAGGUGCUGACUACUUGGGCAGGAGAUCGAUUGAGAAAAAUAGUUGUAGUAGUAUUGUACUAACUAAUGUCAUUUCUAAAUUGAAUUUUAUCUUUCGAAUGGUUUAGUGAAAUGCCAUGAAAUUUUAACAGUCAACUUAGAUUAGUGUUUAUGAUUUUGUGGCAAAGUUCUAAUUUUUUCUUAGAAGUUUGAAUUUUCGGGUUUAAAUUUGGCCGAAUUAACCAUUUAAAUUAAGUUGUUUGAAAUAUGUUUAUUCAGUAAAAAGAUCGAAAGAUAUGAAUAAAUUCGGGUAAGUUAUGUAUAGCCGUUAAAAAUAUAGCUGGUAUAGAACAGUUCGUAAUUUAUAAAGACUUUGUUAAUUUAAAUAUAAUAUUAGAGUUUAGUUAAAUAAUUAAUUAUGAAUAAAAUAAAGCAUUUUUAUUUCAAUUAUAUGCAUUUCAAAUAUCCGAUUUCAAAUCAACUCAUUUGAGAUAUUGAAGUUUAGAAAAUUGGUUGGAAAAUAUGAAUAUAAUAUACACAAGUUAAUUGUAGGGGGUGGAUUUUGGGGAAUCUGCCGAAGAGAAUUGAGAUUUGGGGGGGACAAAUGGGAUAGGGGAUACCCAUAUAUGAGAUUUGGGGAUGAGAUUUAGGGGAUCUCUUGAAGUUGCUUUAAAGCUAUCACAAAUGUCCUAUUUGGGGAUAUGGACAUUUUGCCCCCAAAAUCACCCCAAUGGCAUCCCCUAAACGGACAAAAUAUCAUGUUUGUUCGGACACAUCCCCCAUACUUGCCCCAAAUUUAGAGCAACUCCAAUGGGAUCCCCAAAUUUUGUCCCAAAAUGUCUUUUUUUUGGUUAUUUGGGGGAGCAAGUGGACAUGUGUCCUCAUGUCCGCCAUCAUCACCCAACCACACCCCCCCUCCCCAAAUUCCUCUCCAAAUUAGUUUUUCCUUCUCUUUAUCUUUUCUCCUCUCCUUUUCACCUUUUCUUAUCCUUUUCCCAUCUCAUGUUGUGGGGCUGGGGCAGACAAAAGGGAGCACAAGACAAUGUCCGGACACCCCAAGCCUCCCCCAAAUUUGGGCAAGUUUGGGGGAUUGUCCGGACAAACAUGACAUUUUGUCCGUUUAGGUUUAGCGGGUGCCAUUGGGAGAUGAUUUUAGGGGCAAAAUGUCCAUAUCCCCCAAAUAGGACAUUUGGGAUAGCUUUGGGGAUGCCAUUGGAGAUGGUCAGGGAGGUUUGGGGUGUCCGGACAUUGUCCGGUGCUCUCUUUUGUCCGCCUCGGCCCCACAACAAGAGAUGGGAAAAAGAGAAAAAAAAGUAAAAAGGAGAAGAGAAGGAUGAAGAGAAGGAUUUGGGAGAGGAAUUUGGGGGGUGUGGUUGGGUGAUGAGGGCUGACAUGGGGUGGACACAUGUCCACUUGCUCCAAAAAUUACCAAAAAAAGGACAGUUGGGGGCAAAAUUUGGUUUAUCCCAUUGGAGUGGCUCUUACUUGCGUUUUGGGACGCAGGAUCCAAGGGGUCUUUUGCAUCUCGGGUCGCGUUGGAUGCGGCAGGGCAACCAAGCAGAGCCAUUUUUUCGUCCCGGAUGCAGGCCAAAGCCCCAGUGGACAAUGCCCUUACAUUAUUGUCAGAAUUUUUUUAGUUAACGUAUAUGAGUGAAAUUGAGUAGUAAAAAAGAUCCAAAAUUCAAAUUAAGUAUAUAAUGAUAUUGUAUGAUAGAUUUUUAUUUUUAGACAUCAAAAAAGUUAAAAUGAUAUUUAAGAAUGGUACCAAAUGUUUAUCGGUUCACAAGUGAAUUUUUAGUUAAUAUUUAUCAUGUAGAGUAUAAUUUUAAACCUUAUAUACAAGGGAGCAAUCUAAAUGUUCUGAUGUUGACGAUUCUCUUUCUUAACGAAUGCCUUGGUGCUUCUAAAAUUUCACAAUUUUGUAAACAAAACUUACAAAAAUAGAGUGAUUAACUAUGUGUUAUAGGUUGAUUAGACAUAAAAAAAGUUUAUGGGAUAAACGAGUAUGCUUUUCAACAUUCUCAUAAUAGACACGAAGAUUCCAUGCGAGCCAUGGGUGUAUCUGGCACAAAAGUGUGAAUGGUCGGGUGACAGUCAUGCAUGAGUGCUACCAGGCGGGUAACUAAGCUAUAAAUAUUCUAAGAAAGGUGAGAAAUGAAUCAUGCGUCUCCAAAGGCACAAUGACACAAUCAAAACAUCCGAGAUGAGAAAGGGCUUGCAAAUAGAGCGGCUCAACAUUAGGCAAUGUACCUAUUGACUAGAGAAAAUUUGCCGGUAUAUAUAGGUCUGUGCUGCUUACAACUAACUAAAGUGGUGUGGUGGUAUCCUGUUCUUAUAUAACAUAUUUGUGUACAAAAGUUGCACGAAUGAAUAGCACCAUCUGCUCCUCCUUACUGAAUCAAUAAAGUGCUAUGCACAUUUGACAUGUUGAAUUUGACUUGCCCAUUUAGCAACUAUCACUCGUGCUAAAUAUUUUUUCAUAUCAAUUUUUUUGUGAGCACCACUUUUGUGGGCAUGCCACCGGCAUGCUUUUGGUGAGUUUUGCUGUGAAUUAUUUGGUUGUUCCCUUUUUUGUGCUUACUAUAUGAGAAGACAUGAACAAAGAAAAAGAGAUGUGUUUGUCCCACUAAACUAGAUGGGGUGAAAACUAACAUGUCUAUAUGGAGAUGUUAAGGUUUAAGCGAAAAGUGACUCAACCUAGUGAAGAAGUGUGUGAUGACAAUAAUGUUCGAUAAAAGAAAGUUCAAGCUUCUCCUAGAAAUGGCUUUCAUUUAUUGAACCAGGGGCAAUGAGAGGUGGAAGAGGAGUUCGCAUGGGUGAGGAUUGGGAGGAUGGGAGAAAAUGCAUGACCUUGAUGAUAAGGUAGUUACAGUUAAUGCAUGAGCUAUCAUGUAGCUAUGCUUAGCGAUCAUGGGAGGUAUGUGUUAAUUAGUCUGUAACGCAUCUGUAUUAAAAUACAUACGCGCUAACCCAUCCGCGCAUUCUCAUGUGGCUUCACAUUGCACAAUCAUUCUCUUAUACCUCCCCAUCCCCCCGUUCCUGCCCACAAGGACAAGAGAGAAACCAAGUUUCACAGAUUGAAAGAAUAGAAAAUAAGGGAGAUAGUGAUGGAGAAGAAGGUAGUAGUGGUGUGUCUGUUGGUCAGCAUCCUUAACCUCCUUUCUGUUGGACUUGCCUUUGCUGCUGAGAUGACUAAAAUAAAGGUAAAUAGUGAAAUUAUUUAUGCCUCCUAGUACGUGUUGUUUUAGUCAUCUUCUAAUCCACCAUAAAUGAUUUUAUCUUUCCAAGCAAGUUCAUUACACACUUUGUUUCUAGAAAACUAAUCUUGGCCAAUGGUAUACACUAAAAACAAUAAUUAAAUUUUGCCUAACCAGCUCAAAGAUAGCAAAUGUAUCAAGUAACGACAAGCUAUCUAUGGAGAACAAGAACCAAUAUUAUAGUAGUGGCUGGGAGGAUUAGGUGAUGCACAAUGACGCUGUGAUAAGGGGUGAGGUUGGAGAAGGCCACUUGCCUGGUGGAAUGAUGGUAGAAAGGGAAAAUGCUAUAUGAAAAUAGGCCGCAGAGCAAUUGCCAAAAGGUGAUGCAAUGUUGGACUAUUGGAACCCUAGGCGAUUAUGGAGUUGUGCUAUCCUAGUGGGCCGGGCCAGCUAGAACGGUAUAGUGCACCCAUGUCCAAUGUGGGUUGGGCCAAUAGCUAUCCUAAAAGCUAGGUUAGGAUAUCAAUCUUACCAAGCCUUGCGAGCUAGCCCUGACUUAGCUUGUUUGACCAUUGAGACAAGAGGGAGCCGGUGUGAGUAUAGCGCCAUCCUUCGGGAGAUUGGACUUCGUAGUAGAGAGUUCGUAGAUGUUAUUUGUGUUCAUGAAGCGAGAGCCUUUAAUUUAGAUGCUCAUAGUUUAGUGAAGAGUGUCCUUUCUCUUCAACACAGCCGCCAUAUUUGGCUCUCGAAGCCUUGGAACGAUGCAGUUGUACCCAUUUUGAUCGAUGAAUAAAGGCCGUGUUUUCCGCUGAAAAAAAGACCAUUGAGCCAAGAGGCACGGUACACAUGGAAAAGGUGGUGAACUCAUCCGUAGCUCAUCGUCGGAGCUCGUCAUUAAUUAUGCAUAAGACAAGGAGAGAUAGAGAGAUAUAGGGACAUUGAGGGAGAGAGGUAGAGAUAGAGGAUAAAAGGAAGGGAAGGGGUGUGGGUACGUGGAUUAGAGAAAAAAAAGAACUGGGAUGAGGGUGUUGACCACGGCACUAAUUAAGUCUUGAAUGCUCGAUACUUGACACCCUCAUCCCCAAACUUACAAAAGUAGGUUGUUUUACAUUGUGACGAUUCAUGAUGGGAAGAGCUUUUAUUCACCUUGUAUGAAGGUGGUUGCCCAUUUUGGAGGUAACAUCACCAAAAAAAAAAUUAUCUGUAAGUAUACGUAGCCAGUGUCUAAAAAUGUAUCACCAAAGAGAAAAUAUUGCUAUUAUCUUGGAAUGUGUAUCCACAUGGAUCUCACUAGGGAAACCUCAAUUUGUCUAUCAAGAUGCUAAGGCACCUUAAAUUAGAUCCCUAUCAUCAUGGCCACCCCCAAAUUGAUUGGAUAUGUAAAUUUACUUGGUUUUCUAGAUGCAAGAGUGGAUUGCUUUUCCAACUUUGUGAAGGUGGGUAAGCGUUGAUGCGCUAAGGGGACAAUUGGUCCAGCCCUCUCUUCAGUAUCAGCAUUCACACAAUCGGCUGACUCCAUCAAUGGUACAUGGUAUUCAGAGGUGAUGAAGUCAAUUACCAUGUCUCAUACACUGCACUUACACAUCUCUCCGUGCGUGUGUCAUUUGCUAGGAAACACACCGCUAAUCAUGAAUUUUUGGUAUGUACGAGCUAGAAAACCCCGUUGAUGUGUGUAUGCUGGCACGUCUGUGCCAUCUGCUAGCAAACAGUGCUAAUCAUGAUUUUUGUGUGUAUACGCCGGUGGGUGUGUACCAUUUGCUAGGAAAAACUGCUAAUCAUGAUUAAGCUCAUAAACAACAUAAUUAUCAUUUUCUAAUGAAAACUAGAACAGUUGAAAUGUAUUGAUUUAAAAUUAGGAGAUAGCGGACCUAUUUGCAUUUCGUUUCAUUCCUCACUCUCUCCCACAUAUCAAGUUGAGCCCACAUUUCCAUAAUCAAUGUGAGUCUGAUAUGUCUAGGCCUACCCCCUCACGGAUACAAAACAAUUCUGCUUAUGAUAUAACCGUCUGUGAAUCUUAUCUCCAUCGGUUACCGAUCUACGCAUCUGUUGUGAUAUUUUAGUUAUCAUUCUCUUGCAUGCAGACCUCUGGGAUAAUAAGAACGGAGAAUAAUCAAUGCUUGUACCCACACACUCCAGCUUCACUUUUGGGGAUGCUUUCAACUCUAUUUCUCCUAUCCAGUCAUCUCGGAAUCCAUACAGCAGCUGGAUACAUAUGUUCCAAGAGGCAGGGUAAUCGCUCCGACUCCGAAUGGACAGUAGGGUUAAUCUGCCAUGCCAUUUCCUGGUAAUCUUCUACUAUCUGCUUGGGAUACAUAUGAUGGUUCUUAGAAGGGUGGGCAAACUAAUGCAUGCCAUUCACGCGCACACGCAUAUAGGGUGGUGUUUGUACUUGCCGUCCUGUUGCUGCUCCAAGCCACGUCACUGAAUGACCAGAGGUGGAACGGCGCCGCGUCCACCAACAUCAUCUCCUUCUGCAAUGUCGCUGGCGAUGGGAUCUUCUCCAGUGGAGCGGUGCUGGGUCUUGUUAGCAACUUCUUCGGCAUGGUCUACUACCUCGUGACACGGCCCAUAAAUGGAAUUGUGCCUGUUGAGGAGGAACAAAUGCAUGGCAGCUUCUUCGAACCAGGCGACAUUGCGAUGGUCCAGUUGGAACCCCCACAGCCGGCAGCACUUGCCGCCGGCACAGGUGCCGUCGAGCAGCCCGCUGGUCUCCGUGCAUGAGGACACAUAAAACAUUGUCCAGUAAUCCAGUUCGCUUGAGUUGUGCAAUCGAGCCCUAUACCUGAAGCAGCUAAAUAUAACUUUCCCGGAAAAAAUGUAUGCAUUGUUCUCUGUGACAAUACUACAAUUGGAUAUGCCAUUAAAUCUCAAUAAUAUGUUUUUCUAGUACUGCAAUUUUUAGGAUCCCACUUUGCAAGGAGACUACGUGUGACAAACUUUUUGUGUGUGUAGGAUUACAAUUAAAAAUAAUUGUUUGUCUCCUUUGAGGCCCCACAUGAAUUUGCGUUGCCUCAGGGACGGCCCUGGCUAGCUCUAAGGAGCAACCGUUAUUAAUAGAGAUUAACUUUAGGCUUCAUUGGUGUUAGUAUUUGGGAAAAUGAAUUGAACUGGGAUGAAAUACCAAGUCAUCGAGGAAACUUAAUUGGCCCCUAAUUCUAAUUCUGCACGGGAGAUGGGGUGACAAGGAGGUUAGGGACGGCAGCGAGAUCCGACCGAGGUCUCUAAGGUGGUGGCAAACAAGCGGUGGGAUCCAGCCAAGAGGCUUGGUCGGCAGCAGAGCAUGGCAAGAGGACGGUGAUGUACUGAAUUAUCGCUCCUGCGUACGACAAAGGAUGUCUCAAGUUUUUUAAAAUUUAAAUAUAAUAUAUCUAGACAUGACUUAGUGUAUAAAUGCAUUCAAAUUUAUCAAAAUUGAGAUAUCCUUUGUUGGACGGAAAAAAUACAUUAACUGAAUAUGCUCUCUGUCAUAUAUGUCCUAUACUAAAUUAUCCAGAUAACUUGCUAACAAAAUCCUGAAUGUUCAUUCAGGUAGUGUAAAGACAUAUCCCGAAAUACCUAUGUCACGACAGGCCGAGUGGUGCGGUUGAUUUGACGUGUUGCACGCAUGGGGCUCACCUUCUCUUAUCUCUUCUCAUUCUUCUCCCUACCUUAGAAAACCUACGUUUACAUAGCUUCAAAACUCGUAGGGUGCCCAGUAAUUCCAUCUAUGUAUUCAGCCCCAUAAUAUAAACUUAGCAGGAAGUAGGGCUGUUACUCAAUCCAUGUGGACCUGAACCUGACUAAAUCCUGUUGUUCGUCUGUUUAGCACCCUAAGAUCCGUACUACAUAUAAACAAAUCAAAUCAUGUACUAGCAUAGUAUCCAAUCUAGGCGGUAGAGUUUCAUUCCUCCACAAAAGGUUUUUCACUUUUUCUAAAACUUCUUCGAGAUAUUUGAAAGUAGAAAACGGAAAAAUGCGGAAAAAACCAAAACUUGAAAACAAUGGCGAGGACAAAAAAAAUAAGCUGCUUCCAUCAGCCCAUUCUUAGACCGGCCGAAAUCAAUCAAUCGUGGUGUUCUAAACACACGGAGUACCGCCAAUUAGCGCCCAUGUAUCCAACUUGUUGAUUUAGAUCGAACAUGCAUAUAAUGCUUAUUGCACUAAAUCAUCCAUACUGAAGCUUUUAGCGGAAUGGAUCACCAUAGAUUAUCCUCUCUGAUUUCAGAUAUGUCCGUUGUUUCUUCUGAUUUUUUAGGCCUCUGUAGUACAGUCCACACGCACACAAACCACCUACUAUGUAAGCUAGAUCUACAAAUUAUACCUAACAGGCAUGCUCUAAUAGAUUCCCGAAGCCACUAGGCCCGUCACAUACACACACGCACGCAAACCACCUACUGCGUAACCUAGACCUACAAACUAACCUAACGUGCACGCUUUAAUAGAUUCCCAAAGCCACUGGAUCGGAUCUGUUUGUGACGGGUAACACGUCACACUAGUGGAAGCAUAGUUCAUAGCCGGUGGGACGAGCAAAUCCGGAGCCCCCAGGCUUCGAACUCGCGAGUGCUGGCUGCCCCACUGCAAGCCCUGCCAUCUACGCUAGGCGCAGCCCUCACUCUGCCACUGCUUCUGAAAACACCUUAGAGGGCUGGAAUCCGGAUGGCACCCGUCGGGUUCGGGUACAGCUCAACCAUACCCGUACCCGCGACCCGACCCUCAACCGCUACCCGUGGUCGGGUAUGAAAUUUUUACCAUACCCGUGAUAUUUCUACCCGACCCGCCAUCACCAGUAAAUCACAGAAAAAAGAAUCACAAAAACAAAAGCACAUGAGGAAAUCACAGAAAAAAAAUCCUCGGGCGUGCAGGAUCCACGGCGUCGAGACCCAAUCCAACAGCAGCAGGGGCAAGGUCGGUCGGAUCCCAUGGCGUCGGUCCCAAUCCGGCGGCGGCGGCGGCGGCGGGUCCCGAUCUGGCGGCGGCAUGGACAUGGUCGGACGAAUCCCACGGCCUCUGUCCUGAUCGAGCGGUCGCCGGCCGGCCGACCUCCUUCAUGGUGGCGGCGGGGACGGGGGGAGGAGGCGGACACAGGGGGGCGGUGGGCAGGUGGAGGAGGCAGCGCACGGGGCGGCGGCGGACUGGUUGGAGGAGAAGGGGGCACGGGGCAGCGGACCGGUGGAGGAGCCGGGGGCGCGGGGUCGGCGGGCCGGUGGAGGAGGCUGGGGACGGAGGAGUGUCAUGGAGGAGGCUGGGGAAGGAGGAGCGUCGUGGAGGAGGCGGGGAGGCGGACGGGGGGCUCGUGGUUGUGGACAGAGACGGCGGACAGGGUUAGGUUUUGGGGCCAUCCGGGUUUUUAUAUGAAUGGUAUUGGGCUGGGCCUCUUUGAUGGGCGAUUUUGUACAUGGCUGACAAAUUAGGUGCAGGCAGACGGGUCCGGGUAGGCCAAUAUCAUACCCGUACCUGCCAUACCCGUCAGGUACAAUAUUUUACCAUUUAGAUACCCGCAGGUAUUUUUUUAUUACCAUACCCGUAUCUUAAACGGUCCAUCGGGUAUGCGGGUAUCGGGUACCCAUUGUCAUCCAUAGGCUGGAAUAUGCUAGAUGCACCUAAGAUGUCAAGUCGUGAACGCACCAUGUUGGCAUGUUACCCACAGGAAAUCCACAUUUCUGGUCUUGUCGUC